GAGUUGAAGCUAAAAGAAGAUACAUGCCUAUUGCUAAGAGCUACUCUGGAAAACUUGGAAAGUGAAAAAUAUGGUCUGCAGAGAAGCAAUCAAGAAUUUGUAGAGAAAAUUGACAUAUCAUGCAAGGCAUAUAAGGAGCUUGAAAAUGUGCUUCUCAGCCUAAUGGCAAAAAUAGUUGAACUAGAUAAAGAGAAUUUGAUUGUUUCAGGUCAUGUUUCUAAGCUGAUCUCUUCCUUUCAAACCUACAAUGAGUUGAUCCAAGAAGAGAAGAACCUGGCACUAAAGUCUGCUCAGGGCAAAUUUGAAAAUCUCCAGAAAGUAUACAUACAUUCCAUAUCGGAAAAUGAUGCCCUCAAAAUAGAAAUCGAGGAGCUUCACACCAAAGUAACAGAGCUACAGAAAGCUCAAGAAUUUGUUAUGGUACAACAUGCAGAAGAAUGCCGCUUAGCUGAAGAUAAGGUUCGAAGAUUGGAGUCUGAAGCUGCGGAAAUUGUCUCAAAGAAAGAUGAAGCAGAGGAGUUGGCUUCAGAGUUGCAAAAGAAAGUUGUAAAGUUAUCAGAAGAUUCUAAGCUAACUGAUAGUCAAAUGGUUCGUCAAACUUACUCCUUUCUUGACUACGGUUUCUACUAUAUCUUUAUAAUCUCUAAUCUUGUUCUUUGAUGCUUUCAGCAAGAGUUGUUACAGAAAAUUUCGAAGUUAGAAUCAGAGAACCAUGAUCUUCUAAACAAAGAGAAGUUGGUGUUACAAGAAAAAGCUCAGGAGAUAGAAUCCCUUCAUAGUGAGAUAACUAAGCGUGACCAGCAGGUUGAUGCACUAGAAAAUCAUGUCAACCAACUUCAUAUAGAUAUGGAUGAGAAGGAGCAGCUUAUUUUAAGUUCUGUAGAGAGAGAAAAGCAUUUAGAGGAGCAAAAGUCACAGGUUAUUGAUUGUGAUACUUUUGAUUGAUGCGAUAACAAUUUAGAGAGUAUCUAUAACAGUUAUCUGUGUUCAGAUUCAGGCUUCACUGAUGGCAGCUGAAUGCAAACUUGCUGAGGCAAAAAAACAGUAUGAUAUGAUGCUCGAGGGUAAACAGUUGGAGCUAUCCAAGCAUUUGAAGGAGUUGUCUCAGAGGAAUGAUCAGGUAUUGAUUUUUUGUUGGUGGGCUUUGGCUAUUUUGCACUGUAGGAUAAUAACAAUAUGAAUGAGUGAGUUUGGCAGGCAAUCAAUGAUAUUCGGAAGAAAUAUGAGGUUGAGAAGGUGGAUAUUGUUAGUGCCGAAAAGGAAAAGGUAUCUUCUCUUUUUAGUAUUGGUCCUAGACGAUGCAAACUUUGAAGAUGCUGACAUCUUUCUUUACUGUAUCAAAUUGCUAAAAUUUCAGGCAGAGAAACUCAUCAAAGAAAUGGAAAGAAAAUGUGAAGAAAAAAUAUCUGAAAAUAAAGAGGAGGCACAGCGGUACUUGAUGCAUGUUAAGGAGGAACAUGGUGCAAUGGUAAUUAUUUGGAAUUCUUGCGGCUUCCUUGAGUGGAUUAACAAAUCAAGAAUGCUAAUUGGUACUAUGGAGAAUUAUCCGUCUUUCCCACAGAAAAAAUUCCUAUUCCAAAUCUAAUGGAACUAUUGUAUAAGAGUUCACUUAUUCUGUGAUAUUUCCUGUUUGCAACGUGUUUGAUAAUGAAGUUCUUCCUGACCUCUGGAAAAUGUUGUAUGCACCAUGCUGUUCCUUGGAGAUACAAUGCACAUCUGCUUCCUAAUUAUUAUGAAGAAUGUUCUCCAUAUUUUGAACAGAAGCAAAACCCUACUUCACAGCUAAACAAAAUGUGAUAUAAGAAUCAACUGUUCUGAUAUUUCCUGCUGCGACAUAUGACUCUCAUAAUUUUCAUUCUCACCACAAAACAUGUUACACGUAACAUGUUACAUCCUUGCACAUACAAUGCUGUCUGCUUGCUAAUGCUCGAGUUUCACAAGAGAUAGCCAGUCUUCAGUGCUGGAAAAUAGUAUUUCUUAGAUUUUUCGUGUGUAUAUACAUAUAAAUGCUAAACUACACAAUACAGAUGAUACUGCCAUCUUUGAAGAAGAGUAUCAGGCUUUUCUUUUGUGAAUUCUGCAGAUUAGUAGAAUUCAGCAGGAUCAUGAUGAGAAGGAAUCAAGACUUCGGUCCCAUCACACGGAAGAGCUGCAGCGGCUACAGCUUCAGACUGAAAAUGAAUUGAGGGAGGUACUUGAUGAUUUACUCUUUAGCUUUCCAUUAUUCAAGAAUCUUAACCAGCUUUUAACUGUCAUAAAUCCUCGUCAACGUAGAGAAUAUCAUCACUUAGAAAAGAGCAUGAAAUCCAAAUAAAAUCCUUGAAGCUAGAAUGUGAAGAUGACUGUAGAAAACUACAGGAAGAGUUGGAGCUUCAAAAGUCAAAGGUACUUUGCUUUCUGUAAGGCUUUGUUCAAUGAAAUUCAUUGCUUCUUUAAAUCCAAAUUUUAAUGCAAUCUGAUUCAGGAGGAAAAGCAACGAGCAUUACUUCAAUUGCAGUGGAAAGUAAUGGGUGAGAAUCAACAAGUUGACCAAGAAGUGAACUCUAAGAAUAAGAAGGUGCUCUAUUCUAGUGGCUAUGCUAUGAUAUUAGUUACACAUACCUGCUUCUCUACAUUCUCUUCUGUUUGGUUUUCUUUUUUCCUCUCGAAACUCUUUGUAUGGUUUGCUUCUUUUUUGUUAAGUACUUUGCUCUUUUAUCUCCUGAUUAAACUCCCUUUUGGAGGCAUGGACAUCUUGUUCAGCACAUCUAUUUUGUUUAUUCAAGGAGCAUAAAGCAAUUAGUUGAUAGUGAAUAUAUUUUUACAUUUUUCAUAACGUAUAUUUGGCCUCUAGUUCAUUUUAAUCGGAAUAGGAUAAAUUACCAUGUCGGCGGUAAGCCUUAUCCUUGAAUUUCACAAUGAUGAAGGCCUUGCAAUGGACAACAAUCAAACUAUGGUAGCUAUCACAAAUAAUCACCAUACUGCACAAAUUAUAACUGGAUAACUUGCUCCAGUAUCCAAAUAGGCCCGAAAUAGUUGCAUUGAGCAUCACCUUAUAGCACUUUCUUACAGCAUGGUGCACUUUAAUAAUUUUAUUCAGUAUUUCCACUUCUGCUUUUUACUGUACUUGCACAGACUUUGUAUUUCUAAUCUGUUUUAAGUGAUAUUAUUAUUAUUAUAUGGUAUCUUAUUUGUAACUUUGUCAUUCUGUAGGAAUACUCUGUUUCCUCGAUAAAGAUGAGAGAUUCAUACGGUAGGAAAGAACGCCAGCUUGCAGUAAUCAGCCCUGAGAGUAGGAAGGUUGUACGACCACUAAUCUCUUCUUAGACAGAAUUUGUUUGAUAUCUUUUACAACAAGUUCAAGGCUGUUAUAUUUAUGAGAUUGAAAAUGAUCGUACUUUAAUUUCUAUAUUGGGUGCACUCUAGGAUGUAAAUUUGUCAGGAAUCAUGCGGACACCUAUAGCAAACAUACUGAAGAAAGUAGAGAAGGGGAGUGCAAGAAAUAUUCCAAAGCACAGCAAGAAGGUGAUUCCUUAUGACAGAUUGAUCCUUUUACACCAUUCAUUGCUCUCCAGUGAACCCAUUUCUGUCCAUCAUUUAGUUCAUACCUAUUCAAGAAAUUCUUUUGCUGUUAUAAAUGAGUUGUUUUAUUUGAAUUGUCAUUUAAAUAUGCCUUUGAUGUUAACCAACUUUCCAAUGGUGCUUACAUAUCUCCGAUCAUGUCAGUUAAACCAUUUUCAAUUAUUUCUUUCUUGGAUAUUUCACUGUAACAGGUUACACGCCAUGAAUACGAAAUCGAGACAGCCAAUGGAAGAACAAUAACAAAACGCAGAAAGACAAAAAGCACUGUAAUGUUUGAGGUAUACAAAUAUCUGCUGUCUGGAUAUAUAGUUUGCAACAGUUGAGCGGAUGCGUUAAAGCCAUCAAUUUUACUUUGCAUGUUUAGGAACCGGGCAUUCAAAAGACAACACAUACCAAGACACCUAAUGCUAGUGAGGAUGUUACGAAAAUCAGAAAGGUACGAGCACCAAGUCACUAACUACAAUUCAGCAGAUAUUUACUGGGAUUUUUAAAGUAAAUGCGUGACUGGGAAUGCCUAUAUUUUCUUUUCUUUUUUUCAAAUUCUUCCUCAUUCAAAUAGGGUAUAUCCCUGUUUAAUCAAAAAAAAAAAAUUCUUCCUCACGUUCUCUGAAUUUUAAGGCACCUGUGGGAUGGUCCUACUUAAUUUUUAAUUUCUAUAACUAUGAUUCUCAUUGACAGCAAAAAAAAAAAAAGAAAAAAAAAAGAAAGAAACAAAAGGAAAAAAAAAAGAUAUGGCAGUUAGUACUUUUCGCUUUUUGGUUUUCUGAGGAGAUGAGCUUGCAUUCUAAGCAACAAUGGUAAGAAAGUUCCCAAGCGAUUCAAUUGCAUAACGCUUGAUGGAAAACAAAAACUAAAGCUUAACAUAGAUCAUGUUAAUUAUGCGUAAAUUAUCUCAGUGCUGCUUUUUAUAUUACAUUGAACCCGUUUUCAGAUGCCAAUGACUCCUGGGAGCUCUUAUACUCCACUUAGGAAUGCGUCUUGUAUCUUUUUUUCCCUUAUGUAGCGAGCGUCUAAUGAUUUCCCUCAUGAUAGAUGUGUUUACUUUUUGACAUCUACAGUCUUCCUUACAAUGUAACUUAACAUCCACAGGUAGUUGGAGGGCCCCACCCGCAUCCUGCGAAUAUCGGCGACUUGUUCUCCGAGGGUUCUCUAAACCCUUACACUGACGACCCUUACGCAUUUGAUUAGAAGGUACUUUAAUCUUGAUUACAGUAAAAGUUUCUUCUAAUUUCCUUACAGUUCGUAAUCUUGAUUCUGCUGCAUAAAUCUAUAGAAAUAUAAUCUUGUCGAUAAGCAUCGUGAAGCGGUCUUCUACCGAAGGUGUACAUGAAGGGACGUAGGCCUAUUGUGGCCUUAUUGUGCAUAUAACACCAAAACUAACUUGUUGUGGGCGGAUGAAGAGGAUAUUACAUACUCAUUUCAAGCAUUAAAUGAUGUAAAGGGUAGGUGAGAAAACUCGCUAGUCUUGCACCUUAUAGUAGUUGAGCAAGAGGAGACUGGAAGAUGACCGUAUGGAAUUAAUUCAUACACCUAACCGAACCGUUUCUACCAGCCCCCCAUAUAUACAUUCCUAUAAUACAUCCAUCUCUGACUUGCUAGAAUGGUAGUACCACGAGCUUGCCAUCACAACCAAUGAACCAACCGUUCUUUUCUCUGCUAAAAUAAUAAUUUUUGAAAAUUAUUUUUAAUGGUUUGUACAUUGAAGGAAAUACCACUUUUGACUUUGUGUGAAAUCAUAAAUGUUAUACAUGAAUACUGAUUUGUUAACUUAAAGUACAUUUUUGAGUCGAGAAAAGAAAAUAGCGACCAGUGCAUCCUAUAUAUAGAUGUAAAUUUUAUAUCUAUUCAUCCUAAGCUUUAUAAAUUUCUUAUAAAUUUUUAGUAUUAAGAAAAAUGUUGAUGCGAUCAAUAAGAGAAUAAGAGAUUUUGGAUAAGUAAAGCGUCAUAUUUACAUCCUACAUAUAGGCGUAUGGGUAGCGUUGCUCUUUGAGUUAACCUAUGGGCUAUGGCCUUACUUGAAAAAGGAAAAAAUAAAAAUAAAAAAAAUCCGUCACUCUCACUUGAAUGCGUUUUCCCUCAAAGACUUCAUUAACUCUUGCCACUUCAAUUGUGUAACAUCAUAUUCUUCACACCAAACACAAACCCAAGUGAGCUCUUUCUGAAUAAACAAACCACCUUCAAUGGUCGCACAAAUGUGGAAAGCACUUCCCACAUGCGCAGCAGAGGAGCCAGGAAAUUCAAUGAAUACUUAGUGCUCUCUGCAACACAAGCUCGCUCUAUGGAGCAGCAGUGCAAAAAAUAUGGCAGGUGGCGGAUUUGCUGCUGAAUUCCCCGCCUCCGAUUACGGCGGAUCUCUAACGACCUCUGUUAUCGUCACCUGCAUCAUGGCGGCCUCCGGCGGCCUUAUUUUUGGCUACGACAUCGGGAUCUCAGGUGAUUCUCUCUUUCUCUCUCUCUCUCUCCAUCUCUCUUGAACAUUUCUAUUGUGCAAAAGAUCGAUUAGAACUGCAUCUGAUAUCAUAUUACUUGAAAAAUCAAUACAAUAAACAACAGACCUGAUUUUAUAGGGGGUGUGACGACCAUGGAAUCAUUUCUGAGAUCCUUCUUUCCCAGCGUUUUGAAGAAGAUGGCAGAAGCCAAGCAGGACGACGAAUACUGCAUGUAUGACAGCCAGGCGCUAACGGCAUUCACAUCGUCGCUGUACGUCGCCGGGCUGGCUGCAUCGCUGGCCGCAGGCCGCCUCACAAAAGCCGUCGGCCGCCAGACGAUCAUGCUCCUCGGCGGGGCCCUGUUCUUCACUGGCGCCACCGUCAAUGCCUCCGCCGCCAAUGUCGAGAUGCUCAUCCUCGGUCGGAUUCUCCUUGGGUUCGGUGUCGGAUUCACCAACCAGGUUAGUAUUUUUAAGUAGCUAGGCCAACUACAAAAUUGAGCCUCUAUAUGCGUUGAAUAGUUGGUUAGAACUAAUCGUAGGUAAAAAUAUAUAUAUAUAUAUAUUAAUACAUAACCCUACCUAGAUUGCAUUUUAGCUCUCAGAAUUUUUGCUUCAAUAACUUAACUUCUAAGCAUUUUGAAAUAUGAGACCUCUGUAGCAGUAAAUGUUAUUUGUAAAUCCCAAUCAGUUUAUACAUCAUACAUUCCAUCCAUCUAAUAAAUAAAGCGUUUUUAUUAGUCACAUUAAGGGUCCCACUCAUUAGACGGUGGGAUCUAAAAUGUAUACUUAAAUUUAUGAAUACUAUUGCUCACACAACAGCUAUUUAAUAAGACUUUUUUAAUAUAAAAAUAAAAAAUGUGAUAUGACCAGGCUGCUCCGGUGUAUCUGGCGGAGGUGUCGCCGGCGCGGUGGCGCGGUGCCUUCACGACAGGCUUCCAAUUCUUCAUCGGCGUCGGCGUCGUCGCCGCCAACCUCACCAACUACGGCGCGGCCCGCCUUCGCAGCUGGGGGUGGCGCCUCUCCCUCGGCCUCGCAGCCGCCCCCGCCUGCGUCUUCAUCCUCGGCGCCCUCCUCAUCCCCGACACCCCCAGCAGCCUCCUCCACCGCGGCAUGCCCAUCGACACCGCCCGCGCCGCCCUCCGCCGCCUCCGCGGUUCCUCCGCCGACGUCGACGCCGAGCUCAACGACAUCGCGCGCGCCGCCGAGGACGCGCGCCGGAACGAGGAGGGGGCGUUCGCGAGGAUGGUGCUGGGGCGGCGGUACCGGCCGCAGCUGGCGAUGGCGGUGGCAAUUCCGCUGUUCCAGCAGCUGACGGGGGUGACGGUGGUGGCGUUCUUCGCGCCGGUGCUGUUCCGGACGGUGGGAUUCGGGAGUGACGGGGCGUUGGUCGGGGCCGUUAUUUUGGGAUGCGUGAACUUGGCCUCGAUCCUCGUGUCCGCGUUCACGGUCGACCGGCUCGGCCGCAGGAAGCUGUUUAUAGUCGGUGGGGCCCAGAUGAUCAUUUGCCAGGUACUGCAGUGCUACACAACAGCCACAGGAACACUUGUAUUUGCUAAUACAUCUUUUAUUUAUGCAAGAGAAGGUGGCGGUGGCUUGGAUAAUGGGGGCGAAAAUCGGCGCCGAUGGCGAGGCGGCAAUGCCGAAAGGGUACGCAGCGGCCGUGCUGGUGCUGAUGUGCGCCUUCUCUGCCGGGUUCGGGUUGUCAUGGGGGCCGCUGAGCUGGAUCAUCCCGGGGGAGAUCUUCCCCGUGGAGGUCCGGUCGGCGGGGCAGGCGAUCAGCGUGGCCGUCAACCUCGGCUGCACCUUCGUCCAGACGCAGCUCUUCCUCGCCAUGCUCUGCCGGUUCAAGUUUGCCACCUUUGCAUACUUCGCCGCCUGGGUCGUGGUCAUGACCGCCUUCGUCGCCGCCUUCCUCCCCGAGACCAAAGGGGUGCCCCUCGAGUCCAUGGCCUCGGUGUGGGAGCAUCACUGGUACUGGGCUCGGUUCAUCGCCGAUGACAAUCGUGCCGACAAUUCAAAAGUGAAUAUUAACAUCCGUUAGAUUCUCUUAUAUCUAAAAGUGAAAGCGGUCAUGCAACAUUAGUUCCCAGCUUCAAAUUCCUACUUUGUCUCAACCAAUGUGCAUUUAGAUGUAUUCUCCCACCCAAAUGAACAAUAGAGAUUCUCAAAGCAAUGCUCAAAGAGUAACAUCUACAUAUCUAACUUAACCCAAAAAAUAAAAAUAAAAAAUAAAAAAAUCAAAGAAUAAAGGGCACAACAAGAUCGAAGAUCUGGUAAAAGAACUGUUAAAGCUGAUGAAGCAAAUAUCGUUCAAUGUUCUAAAAUAUUGCACUUCUCAACCUCACAAAUACAUAACCAUCAAAUAUGCAAUGCUUAAUAAUAUCGACAGUUAAUCAAGACAUCUUCCCAAAUGAGCUGUUUGCAUUCCAUCAAAUAGCUAAACAGUUUUUUCUCUUCUUUUUUUUUCAAACCUUUCGCGCUCAAUGAUUUUACACUCAAUAAUAUUCACAAAGCAGUUAGUGCUCACAGCAAGAAUUAAUAGCAGAAAGAGUCUUUCAACCCAUUUCUACACCAAGUAGACAAGCAAAAAAGAGUCUUUCAACCCAUUUCUACACCAACUAGACAAGCAAAAGUCUAGUGCGGUGCAGAUCUCCCGACGGAACUAACACAGCAUUUAAGUAAAAAUAUAUACUAUCAAAACACUCUUAGCACAGAAAACACCUGUAAAAAUAUCUUUAUGAAGAGACAUGUUAUCAUAAAACAAUUCUAACAUAUACGGCCAACUAUGCCAAAUUCCAUUAAUCAUCUUUAAAACCAAGAUAAAACCAGUUUAAGGAUUCCCCCCAAAAUGGGCACAACACAACACAACACAAAACAUGCCUAGUCACAUAUGUAUAUAACGAUAUAUAACCAUAUGUAUAAAACUAUACAUAACCAACAGCCAACCAGAUGAUACAUGAAAGCAUCAGAUCCAAACCACAUCCAACACAAAAGUAGCAGUGUAAUAUUGCAACUAGAAAAUUCAUUGCAUUCCUCACUCAUACCACAAGCAACAAUAUUUUAAAUGACUUAAGUAUGACACACACAGGAUACAAAAGCUAAGAAUUAGAAAUCAAUGAUUAAAUAUACUUCACGAUCGAUCUUGCAUCAGUUUGUUAAGUAGUUUAUAUAAGUAAAAGGUUCAAAUGAGAUUUGGACAGCCACAAGCCUCGGACAAAAUAUAAACUAGUCUAAAAUGCAAGUUGUCCACAAAAAGGGUUGCCUAAGAGCAUCAUAGUAUCUGCCGAAAUCAUAUUCAAGGAUCAGCUAAAAAUCCCCAAUAUAUACCUAAUCUAAUAAUGCUACAAUGGUCAAAAUCCACAGGAGAGGAAAAAUAAUACCAGACUAAGCAACAAGAACUAGAUUAUAAUCAUGUAGGCAUCUGCAGCUACAGGCACAGCAACAGUCUCACAAUCAACACGCAAUCACUGCUAGCUGCAGCUACAAUCACGAGCCACAGGACGUACUUUUCUCCCACGACCCAACAGGUAGUAUCUACAAGAACUUCCAUCACUGAAGCUUCACAGCUACAGUCACGAGCCAAUCGCUACAUACCAUGGCACAAUAGGAUCAACAAAAGGAAAAAAGAAGUCAUUAUGCAACAAAUAUGAUAAUGUAUCAAGGUAUGUGUAACCAAGUACUUAGCUUGUCCCGACCACCUGAAAAUUCCUAGAGCAUGUAGUCAAAGCUUGUUAUUGCACGCCCCAACAAUGUCAUUCACAAAAACAGCUACAAUAACAGCAUCAUAUGGCAAAAGAUGGGGUGAUGAUGGUGCAACAGCAAGUGGGAGUGCAUGACGCUCACGAAUGGCUAGCACUACUCCUUUUAGGCCAACAAAUAACAAAGGCAAAAGAUGUAAAUAUGACAAGAGUACACAAUCUAAAUGGACAGGAUUUGCCACAAGAAUUGGGCACAUUGCUUACCAAGCAUUAGAAUAGUGGAGUAAGCUAACCAUCAUUUCGAUGGAUCUUGCCUAAGGGGCUGAAACAGCACCUGUCCUCACGCUGAUUUCAACAUCAUCACGGACUAAAAACUUGAUUAAACAAUAUCAUCAUCAUCAUCAUCAUCAUCAUCAUCAUCAUCACCACCACCAUCAUCCUCCUCCUCAAAUCAUCACCACACCACCAACGCAAGCAUCAGCAUGAGUUAAAGAGAAUCAGCUACACGGUCAUCAGCAUGGACAAGUCCUUAUGAAAUCAUCUCACCAGCUAGGUGCAACACCGAUCUCACGAACAGAUAGCUAGAAAAUGCACAAUAUGUUCAACCAUAAGUUCAGAGUUUUACUAAACUGCUAAGGAGACAAGUUCAUAGAGAGCUGCAAACAAAAGGUACUAGAGAAGAACAAUGACACAUUGAGAUUCCUAAAUAAGAACCAACAAAAGAAAAGGCAUACUCCAGAGAACAGUAAGUCCAAGAAAGUGCAACUUAUGACAUUGGAAAAACAGUCCAAAGCUAUCAAACUGACCACACUUCAUUAAGCUCACUGACAAUACUAGAGAUAUAAGAUGGAUGGCUCAAGUUGAAGAUUUCCUCAGUCCUGCAAUAGGCGAGGAUAAAUACUAAUCAAAUUUCCACUAGCUAUAACAAAAACUGGAAACUGUGACAUUUUAGAAGUACAGAAAUAUCUACCUCAUCAGAGCUACGUGGACUCCGAGAGUCUGCACGGCGUCCUCUUGGAGAAGCACUCUGUGAACGAGGCGAGCGUUCCCCAUUCAUAGCUUUCUCAGGGCUCUCUUCGCGCGGAGGUGUCCUUUUAGGUGAAGUGCUCCUACGAGGACUAACGCUACGCCGAACAGGUGAGGCACUGCAAAAUAGUUUUACAAGGCAACAUAAGAGCAAAUUGUAUCACAAAGUAAUGUACGGUUUGUCUGCCUAAGUGCCAUUUGAGUAACUUUUAACAGCCAUUUCAUUAAAUUCCCUCUACCAGCCUUCAACUGCAGCCAAAACAGAAGCUUCAUGCUUUUCAAGCCUGGAAAUUCAUUUCAGCUACCCAAAACCGUAGACAUACUGGAAAUUUCGUUUGCCAGACAACUGUACUAUUGCUUCUCAUAUUUCCCAAAGCCAGGGAAUAUAGGCAUUAAGAGAAAAAGGAUAUCUUAACAUUACCUGUCAUAUGAGUGGCUUCUGCGUGGACUAUAGCUACGCCGAGCAGGUGAGGCACUGUACAAGAUGGUAGUAUAAGAAAAUGGGUGGAAGAAGGAACUAAGCACAGAAGAUGUCCUCAUGGUGGUACCUAUCAUAUGAGCGACUCCUGCUUCUCCGUCGAUCGUCAUCCGCCUUCCCUCUGCCACGGCCUCUAUCAUAAUCAGAGCUCAAACUGCGGCUUCUGCUUCGACGAGAAUCCCUAUCCCUAUCGUGAUGCCUGUCACGCUCAGAUCUUCCCCUGCUUCUACUACGGCCUCGUCUUCCAUAGUCUCUGUCUCGAUAAUCAUCUCUAUAUCUGAUCACGAUAAACACAAGUAGAAAGUAUAAAGUAUCUAGCAAUUUAACAUUCGAAGCCUUAUAAAGAAAAUAUUUCAUACUGUGCAGAAGUACAAUAUACUUAUUGUUCACUGGCAGUCUGGCAUCAUAAAGACUAUUGCAUUCUGUGGGUACUUUGAUGAAACAAAUUUUGAUAUUUACUAUUAAAAGAAGAAAAGAAGACAAAGAAGCUGAGUUUCAUGACAAAUGAACUGAAGAAAGGCAUCAGCUUCCUCUGAUAACUAAAUAUGAAUAAGAAUGAACAAAGAUAAGGACCCUCACCCUCGCCUAGGGCUACGGCUUCUUGACCUGCCCCUUGUCUUCGGGACUACUUCCACAAUUCUUCCUUUGUGACUGCAAGAGUAAGGAUAUAAUGUAACUGAAAAGCAUCAAUGGGCGUAACUGACAACAAAAACAAAGCACAAUUCAAACACAAGGGCAAGGCAAAUUUGUUCAGAUAAUAACCUGCUGCAGACAAAAGAAAAGAGAGAACAUAUCUUUCCUAGGAAUGCAUUCGGCAUUGUAACCUUGAAGAUAAAAAUACGGUUAUCUCAUUUUUGAAAAUUUUCAACCAGCAAAAAAAAAAAAAAAGCUUUUAAGAAAAUAUUGAUAAGACAUAAAUGGCCCUCUCUAGUUGUCAUUUAGUGGACAACAGAUCUUUAGCUCGCUAUAGUUUAAAACAUAUGUAUGAAAACUAAUUUAUGGGGGGGAAAUUACAUUCAAUAGUUUAUAAGUGCAUAGGGAUGGUUACCAUAAUUUUUAGAAAAAAUACCAAUGCUGUUAUCAGUACACAAUCUUUAAGCAACUGUACAAAAGAAAAAUAGGCAACCAGCUCAUGUCAAACUACUAGCACAUUUACGCAAAUGAAAGCUCUUCACUUUCGGGUCUGGAACAACUGAUCUUGAGGAAAUGUCCUUUGGUUCACUUAAUCCUUUCCUUCCAUUUCUGAGAAGCACUUUGUCUGAAUUAUACAAGAAUUACAAAACUUUGUAGUUUGCAUCAGCAAUGCAGAUCGAGUGACUUGCAAUGUAACAGAUCGAUACUUGGAUAAAUAUCCUUGUCUGAAGAGUAUGAGCCGGCAAUGUUAUUCAAAAGAUAUAGAGUGCAUACAGAGUAACUCAAAAGGGUCAAAAUUGACAAAAUAGGGACUAAUGUACAGCAUCAACUAUACUGAAUAGCAAAUUAUAAAUCAUAUAGUAAGACAGAACUAAGCUGAUAGAAGGAAAAUCGCUUCUCAUUUAACCGAAAGAGAAAUAAUUCACUACAAAUUUAUUCCAAAACUAGGCAGGCACAAUCCAUAUACCAACAAGUUUCUUUUUUUUCACUUACUACUUUAAAAAAAAUACAUUUCAUUUCAGAAAAUUCAAUUAAAAAAAACUAAAAUAGCUAAUAAUGACAAUCUAGUACAGAAAAGUUUUAUCCAUAAGAAAAAAGCAAUGAGCAAUUCGAUUCGUUCAUUUAUAGUAGAUUUCAAUCAAAAAAACCCUGACUUACAUCCGUUCAGCAUUUGGGCCAUAUUUCGCAAACUGCACCAUAAUGUUGCGACCGUCCACAUUGCGGCCUACAAAGAGAUGAAGCAAACAACACAGCACAUAAAAGAUUACAAAAUGCUCACAUAAAAUUCAAUUGUAAAUAUCAUCAAAAACAACGGGGGGAACUUGCCAUCAAGCCUUUCCACUGCCUUCUGAGCCUCAUCAGCAUAUUUAUACCUCACGAACGCAAAACCACGCGAUUCCCCAGUCCUGUAGAUCAAACAUAUUAAAAAAAACGAAUUAAAACAUUAACAAAAAGUAGCAAAAACAUCCAAACCCUAGAAAUCCGCACCCAAGAGCUGAUCUAACUGAAAAAACCCCCAAAAAAAAACCAAAUCUCGAAAUUUUAGGUAGGCACCUGCGAUCUCUGGGGAUGAACACGUCCACCACCUUGCCGUACCGAUCAAAGAGGGGGAAUAGAUCAUCCGCCGUGGUACCUACAAAAAAGCAGCCGAUUUGUAACGAGGUUAUAUGCGAAUCAACGAGAGAGAGAGAGAGAGAGAGAGAGAGAUCUUACGGAAGCUGAUGUUGAGGACGAGGAGGGAAUACGUAUCCUUGAUAUCGGGGGGGCCCGACCUUCCGAAGUGCGACAUAGUUUCUAGGGUUAGGGUUUCGGAGAAGAAGAGAGAGAGGAGGAGAAGCCUCUCGAACGCGAAGAGCCAAGGGCUUAUCGCGAAUGGAAUAUAAGAUGCGGUUCCGUUGAUUCUGAAAAUUUUGCAUAUUACUCCCUGAAGACUCCUCUAAUCAUACAUUACUCCUAAAAAAGUUUCAAUUUACAUUAUAGUCCUUUAUGUUAGGAGAUGUAAAUGGGCUGGGCCGGUCAUCAGCCUAAUAGGCCGAGCCCAAAAAAAAAUUAACCAAUUUUAAUAAUUUAAAAUUAUUUUGAUGAUAACAAUAUAGUUUAACUAUUUUUUGCAAUUUAUUAGGCCACAAACAUGAAUUAAAGUCACACUAUAAAAUAUCAUAUUUAAUUAUUAAAAUUUUUAUUUCAAAUUGCUGAGAGAUUGUGAUUCAUGUAGCAAUAUUAUAUAUACAUAUGGUGUAAUAAGUUGAUUAUAAUAUAUUUUUAUAGUCCCACCGAAAAACAAAAAAAUAUAAUUUUGUAUAUUUUCUAUCUAAAUUUUGUUUUGCCUUGUAGCGAUUCAAUACCAAAGGAGCACUAAAAUUGAAUAGUAUGCUAUGUUUGAAUAGGAGGAGAUUUGAUUUGGUUUGAUCUUAAACCAAAAUUUGAGAAAAUUUGCAAAAAAAUUAAAGUAAAUUAAAAAUUGAAUUAAAAAAUGUAAGUAUUCAUAUAAUAUUAGAAAUAUUUGAUACAUAUAUUUUUCUAAACUGAAUUAUCAUGAUGUAAUUAGCUUUGCUAUUCAAAUUAAUGGUGAAAAUGGGUCAUGAAUUUAAUUAGUGUAAUAAUCCAUAAGAUGCGUCGGAUAAACAAUUUGAGAAAAAAUAAAAAGCAGUAAUAAAGAAAGAGAAAGCAGUGAUUAAAAAAGUGACGAUAACGGGUAAGAUUCAUCUUGCCAAUUAAGAAAGGUAAUAGUCGACGAAAAUAGAAGAGGAACAGUUCGACCCAAUAUAGAGAUGCGACCUGGUUUGGUUCAAGCAAAUAAAAAAAAAAAAAACCUCGGUUCGGUUCAAAUAAAAAAAGAGAAAAAUAUAUAAACGGCUAGAGCCGGUUUAGGAAGCCCGCACUUAACACUGAUUGAUUCGGUUUAAACAAAUAAAGAAAAAAAUUCGGUUCAGUUCAAGUAGAAAAAGAGAAAAAAUAUAUGAAAAAUUUAAACCAGUUCAGAGUGGAGCCUACACCCAAUAACGAAGGAAAAUGUUGUCACGUGGUAAAUUUAGAAAAAAUAAUGUAUAGAAUAUAUGAAGGUAUGGAUAGAUAUGACCGAACUAUUCGUGCCCAACUCAAAUAUUAAUUUGGAGGAGAAAUUUGAUUCGAAUUAUUUGAAUGAGAUUUUUGGUUCAAUUUGAUCAUUUUAUUUUUUGAAUAAUAUUUUACCAUUCCUACUAAUAAAAACCCAAUACUCCGCAAUUAGUAGUUUCCAAACAUAUUCCGACAAAAAUUAAAUAAAUAAAUCAAAUAAACUUUAUCCCUAUGACAUUUAAUUUUUUUAAAAAAUCAUAUGAAUCACCUACUACCGAUCCACGUCGUGACCAUCUCGAAGCAGCACCGCAUUGCAAAAAUGAUAAAAUAUUUUAAACUAAAAUAAAAAAUAUUUUUUAUUUUUCAUUUUAAAUUAUUUUUAUUGUUUUUUCAGCACACAUUUGUUUUAUUAAAUUUAAAUUAGGAAUUACGCUUGAAAUAUAAUAGUAGCUAUUAGCAUAUAUUAUUAUUAUUGUAUAUUUUGUAGGGAAAACUUCAAAAACUCCCUGUGGUUUCGCACUGUUUUAUUUUAGUAUUCUGUGAUUUAAAGUGUAUCAAUUUGGUGCCCCGUCGUUUCAUUUUUCUCUUUUUAUUAUAAAUUUUACUAUUUUUUUCUUAAAUUAGUAACAAAGUUAAAAUUAAAAGGUACUAAAAUGAAUAUUCGAUACAUCUAGGUGAGUAUCUGAAGUUUUUUGUAUAUAAUUUAACGAAAUAUUAACGAAAAAGCUGUCGAAAAGAUAAAAUUGAAACCACAAGGUACCAAAUUGAUACACUUUAAAUCAUAGGCUACUAAAAUGAGAAAAUGCGAAAUUACAGGGAUUAUUUUUUUUGAAGUUUUCCCUAUUUUGCAUUAUAUGAUGACUUGACUUUAUUUUAAAAACAAUUAAAAAUAUAGUUUGAUAUGCGCUAUGCGGUACACCGUCCGAUCAAAGCAAAUCAUUGUUAAUCUAACGGUGAGAAUUCUACCUUUCCGUAUACAUACUAAUGUACGGUUAUUAGUACGACAAGUGUGGUGAAUUGAUCGCGCGGAAAUAAUAAAAACACUGAAUUAAAAUUAAACUCACUAAUAAUAAUCCGAAUUAAUUAAUGAUAAUUAUUGUUGCAUUUAAAUACCGAGAACAAAUCAUGCCACGUGUCAGCAUUACUCGGACACUUAUUAAACCCCUUACACUCUUCCAGAAGCCACUAUAAAAACCCCGCGAUCGUCUUCUUCGUCCUACUCUCUCUCUCUCUCUCUCUCUCUCUCUCCGAGCUCAUCAAUGGCGACUCUGACGAUUCCCGAGGCGAUCCCCUCCCCCGCCGACGAUUGUGAGCAGCUGCGGAAGGCGUUUCAUGGUGACGUAGCCUUUUCUCUCCCCCUGCAUUGCUUCGAUCUCUUCUCGGGAUGGUGGUUUAUGGUUUUGAUCUCGAUGUAUCUCUCUGUGUGUGUCUCUCUCGAUCGGUUUCGAUCGGAUCGCUUGAUCGCGCAGGUUGGGGCACGAACGAAAAGCUGAUCAUCUCGAUCCUCGCCCACCGCAACGCCGCCCAGCGCCGCGCGAUCCGCGAGGCCUACGCUGCGACCUACGGCGAGGAUCUCCUCAAAUCCCUCGACAAAGAGACCACCGGAGACUUCGAGGUGCUCCCUCUUCUCUGAUCCCUGGUUUUUCCUCUUCCGAUCCUUUGGGGGCCGUCUCUGUUGAGAUUUUAGUGGUUUGGGCUUUGUGGGUGGGCGCAGAGGUUGGUGCUGCUGUGGACGCUGGAUCCACCGGAGAGGGACGCGUGGCUUGCGAACGAGGCGAUAAGGAAGUGGCGUCCGGGAAACCGCGUUCUGAUCGAGAUCGCGUGCGCGAGGUCGUCCGGGGAGCUCUUCGCCGCGCGGCAAGCGUACCACGCGCGUUACAAGCGAUCGCUCGAGGAGGAUGUAGCAGUGCACACCACUGGGGACUUUCGUAAGGUAACGGGAGAGGCGAUCGAAGAGUUGCUCUUUUUUUAACAUUUUUUUUUCUUUUUUUCCCUGAUGUUUCCGAUUUAAAAAUCGGAGAUUUACGUUUUUAUGAUGAUUCUUUUCUUAAUCGUUGUGAAAAUUUGAUUUUGGUCGCUUUCUACUUCUCUUUCGAAAGUUUAAGCUAUUGGUUUCGUUUUGUGGUCAUGGUGUUUGUUCUUCUGGUAUAUCCGAGGGUUUAAGAUCCAUUCUUUCAAUGAUUGUUGUCAAAAUUUGAUUUUGACCAGCGAUUUGUCUUUUUUUUUUGAAAGUUUAAGUUAUUGGUUUUUGUUUUGUGGUAAUGGUGUUUGUUAUUUGGUCUUAUCUGGGGGGACUCAGAUCCAGGGAAAACUACUUAUGAACUUGAUUACUAGCUUAUCUACUAUUGAUGUUGAGGACAUUGCCUUUGUGGACCCUACCAUGCGUUUGCUUGUGUUCGUGUGUAAACUUGUUUAAAUGGUACUAAACUACUACAUUUGAUAGAAACAUCUGUAGUUGAUUUAGAUAUUUGUUAUUGGUGAAAGUGUAUGGACUCGAAAACUUGUUAUCUUUUUUAUUGAAUCCCUUUAAACUUUUGAGUUUUGUUUCUAAUUUUAGUUGUUUUCUAAAUUUUAGUUGGGGAUUUGUUGAAAUUAGUAGCUUUGUUAGCUAUCAAAAGUUAACGGUUAAUGAAAGCAGCAGUUCCAUUGGUUGAAAACGUGUUUCGAACAAUUGAACUUAAUAUGUCAUGAUUAAUUGUAAUAAAUUUGGGGGUUCAGUUUAAAAAAAUAACUCAAAUUGAAAGAACAAAAAGGUAAAUGAGUGUAUAUCAAAACACAACAAAAAUUGAUUCAUGAGGGUUUAAUUACUGAAUCACUUCUCAACGGUAUGUUCCGGGUCCGUUUAGAUAAUGAAGAUCUAAUUCUAGGAUAUGUUUCAGGGAGGAUCCGGCGCAGUUUUAGGUGUGGCGGCGUGGUCCCUGUGCAUUAUCAUCUUCGUAUUUUUACACACACUGUUAGCUUCCAUUCUGCGUUGUUCUUCAAUUUCCUGUGAAAAUUUUUUGAGAUAAUUCAAAAUGGAAGAUCGAUAAUUGUAAUUUCAGUCAUAUUCUCUUGUAUCUCAUAUGUAAAAUAGUUACGUAGUGCCAUAAUAUUUCAGUCAUAUUCUUCAAUUUCCUUUGAAUAACUAUCACUGAAUGACAUUCUUUCUCUCAGCUUUUGGUGCCACUUGUAAGCUCAUACCGCUAUGAGGGGCCGGAGGUGAACGCAACAUUGGCGAAAUCAGAGGCCAAGAUGCUGCACGAAAAGAUCUCUGAGAAGGCUCACAACGAUGAGGAUGUCAUUAGGAUCCUCACCACCAGGAGCAAAGUUCAGCUAAUUGCAACACUGAAUCACUAUAACAAUGAAUUUGGCAAUCCAGUUAACAAGGUAUAUGAGCCACUGUACUCUAAUAUUCUACUUCUUUCUUGCAAAUUUAAGAUGUUGUUCUGUUAUAUUUUAAGGCAAAUGGAUUAUUUGAUGUUUUCCUUCGUUUAUUUAUGUCCAUGCUCUGUUAUUUAAUAUUCUACUCAGCUAGUUGUCUGAGUUUUGUUGGUUUGUUUUCCAUUGAGAUGCCUUUUACUGCAGCGAUGUCUCAUUAGCUAGUAUUAGCCUACAAAAGAUUGUUACUGUGUAUAUCUAAAGUCAUUGGUUGGUUGUGGUUUUUCCUGUACAAAGAUGCUUCAUAAUGUCCCUUGAAAUCUUCAUCAACAUGUGAAGGCACAUUAUUUUCCUCCUGCUUACAAUGCAUAUUUGUCUUUUAUCUUUGCCGAGUGCAUUCUUUCGAAGAAAGAAAAAGAAUCUUUGUAGGGUACAAACUAAUUUUAUUUAUUUAUUCAUGCCAAAAGUUUUAGAGGAAAAAAAUGCCGUUGAAAUUCAAAAUUGUCCUCAUUCAAGCAAUAGUACAUCGGGUGGAAUAUAUUAUCUGUUAAGACUAUUUCCUGUGAUAUCGCGGUGUGAGAGCUGAUUCUAAGCCGCCUCCUAUGAUAUCAUGUGUUAUCCGACGCCUAAUGGUUUAAAUCCCCUUCCAUUACCUCCUCUGCUUGCUGCCUCUCUUGUCAGUGCCGCAUCCAUGGUUCAGCAUAUCUCUCAUCUCCACCAUGCGUGCAAGCAGGGAUUUUUAAGAUUUGCCUUUUUGAUCAUUUUUUUUAUGUCGCCACAACCAAAGCUAACUUUAAUCUCCUAAUUGUGGUGCUCUGACUAUCACAGGAUCUGAAAUCUGAUCCCAACGACGAGUUCCUUACUGCGCUGAGGGCCACAAUCAAAUGCAUCUGCUGCCCAGAGAAGUACUUUGAGAAGGUCAUUAGGCUGGCGAUCAACAAGAUGGGGACGGACGAACACGCCCUCUCUCGAGUGAUAGCUACCCGGGCAGAGGUGGACCUGAAAGUGAUAAACGAGGCCUACUACAAGAGAAACAGUGUGCCUUUGGACCGCGCCAUCGCGAAGGACACUCGUGGAGACUACGAGAGGAUGCUUCUCGCCCUCUUAGGGCAGGAGGAUGCUUGAGUUUUGUCAUAUACUGCCGAGGUGGAUUAUGCAGAAUAAAGUUGUGGCGCCGAGUCGAGUGGUGGUGAGUGAAGCUUGUUGUGUAUGUUUGCAAAUAAGCAAAACUGUAUUUGCUAUGUCUUUUGUUGUGUUUGGCCGCAGUUUCGCGAUGUGUUAAAUAUUGUGGGUUUUUUGUUUCCCUCUUUAUGUAAUCGGCACUCUUCUUUGUGUUUGUUAUGCUUAUUCUCUAUCUGAUUUCAAAACCUUGAACCGCCUAUUUUAGCAUGUAAUAAUACCAAAUCGCAUAUAUGGCAAUUAUUCUAGCAGCAGUAAAGGGGGAAAGAGUGAUAAGCUUAGACAAACUACGUUGGGUUUCAGCUUUUGGAUAACAAUUACACCUGAACGCUCGGGCUAUUUAUGCUGAAACUCGAAUUAUACUAUACCUAAAACUAAAGCGGAGAAUAAUAAACAAACUACGCAAGAAUACAUAUUAUAUUUAUACCUACAGAAGCUAAAAGAACAGUAAGUGCUUUAUGAUAAAGCUCCUCUCCUUGUAGCAUAAUGGCAGGAGAAAGAGCUCUCCAAAUUUUGGUAAUGGGGAGUGUGAUCUUUGUUCAGAGAUUACAUAGUAAUGGAGGGGACAACAACAUGGCCUCUUCUUACCUUCUAGAUAUAUGCAUCACCCUUUGAAUCACAUUUUUGAUAGGAUCCUUUCAGAAUAUGGGUGGGUUUGAAGGGCACAUGAAUGAGGACGGCUUUACAUAACUUCUCUUGUGAAUAUAACUCUGGAAAAGAAGAACAAAUUAAUAUCAGAAACUUUCUGGAUUCUUUCCAUUUUUUACUUUUUUGAUAUACUUAUACAUAUAAAACCAUACAAAGUUCUAUGCUUACAUAGACACAUUCCUAUAAAAUCUGAAUUUCAUGCAUGUCCGUCAAAAACUUAAUGCCUAGCAUAUGUCAUAUGUAAAUAUUGAGAACCUAGAAAACUCUGGUUUUAAAAAAUUUGUUUGAGAACAAAACCAACUUCUCCAGUGAAUUGGAUGACUCUCCUACUUAAAAUUGGGGUAUUCUAAACAAGGAACUGCACUUUCAAAGCGAAUUGUAGAUUCUCCAAGGUACUCUACGUAAAUAGAUAGUUUACAAACAAUCAUACACAUAACAAUCCUUCUCCUAUUAAGUUAAUGACCAGGUUCGUUUUCGUUAAUAAUAAAACUAGCUUAAUGUAAACAUCUCCAUUCGUGGCCUCAAUAAUUUUUUUACCAGAGGUGAUUCAUCUUACUUUCAGUCGAUAGAGAUCUUUUAAAACUUAGAUUUUCUUUGACUUUUUUUCUUCUUUAUUUCUGCAACAUAUUCUAUCAUCUAUUGAUGGGGAACCAAGCUAUGUAAUCUAAUUGAAGUUGUUUACUUUUAUAUUAAUCUUCAUUGUUGCAAUUUGAACACUACAUCCUACAGAGACUCUUGUACAUUUAGUCAGAUAAAUUAGUCGUAUACAUUCCAUGAAAAUUGUUUUCCAAGACGGUGAUAAAAGAGAAACUAGAAACACUUCUAAUUACUGAAACCAUGAAAAUUAACAAUUUGCUGCCACAACAUCUCAUAUUCGCCUCAGAGUCCAGAAUCAACACCACCAAAUAUAAGAUUCGAAAGAAAAUUCGUCAGAAAUCAUUCAAAUAACACGCUUUCCGUGACGGUCGACGUUUGUAAGCAACAACAAGCAUGUUACAUAACAAGUCUGCAAAUGAAUCUGUAUAAACAUACCCACCCAGUGUACUUGUAUGUUGUUGUCAUAUUUCGUAAAUUGGUUAAACCAGUGCGAUGCUGCUCUCCCCGCCAGGGGGUUUCCGGACACCACCAAAAUAAUCUCGGGCGGCAGCCUUCCCGUCGGAGAAGAUAUUGCUGCCGCUAAUUUCUUUCAACUUCGCCGUGCUUAGCAUUUUCUCGGCGCACCCGAGGGGUGCAUCUCCUUUGAAAAUAUUGUUGCCGGUUAGAUCUUGAAACUUUUGCGUAUGAAUUUUCUUAGCUGUCUUUAUUGCGGUCUCUUCGUUGGAGAUGACGCCACUCAGAUCUCCAGCUCGCUGCAGAAGUCAAUUUUCAUAACCAACAAAAUGAGAAGAUUCAUGCAUCCAUAGUGUUUUAUUUUAAAAUUGCAGCAUGGUUGUGCAGCGAGGAACUGAUUUAAUCUCAAAGGUUGAAAAGCAAGCUAAUGUUGCACAAAUGCUGUGAUAUUACAAAUUUCAGAAAAUGGAUAUAUUUUGCGAAAAUGCUCAAGUUAAGAUUAAUGCAUAGAAGGCCAACACAAUUACUAUCUCACUUACAUAUGAUACUUCGGCAGAAGUAUAAAUGUUCUUAGAGUGGUGAAGCGCAAAAUCCAAGUGGCCUCUUAAGUCCAGAUUCCGUGGUGCUAAUGGUCUUAUAGGAAUCUCAGGAGGAGGGCUGAAGAUGUUGUGCCCGUUAAGUUCCUUGCUUUUUGCUUCUGAAAUCUGCUUCUUGAUUUCAGCUUCGGUUUCUCCCUCGAGAGUCCCGCUUAGCUCUCGCUGCUUCGCUACCUCAGUUAGUGUGGUUGGCUUCUUUGGCGGAACACUCUCUUCGGAACCAAAUGAGAUCUGGCUGAUUGCGCUCACCACUUGCUGGAGGACGAGGAGAGAGGAUUGGUUCAUCCCAACUUAUUGUACAGCAUAUUUCAUUUAAACAAUUAUGGCACACUAAGAGAAAUGCAGAUGACAAAAUGUCACAAUAGCCAUAGCAGAAGCAACAGACACUUAGCUAACAUUCAAUAGUUUGACUAAAUUGCAUAAUGGACUAUCUCCUCCUUAAUAGAUAGGAGGCACAAAGUGUUCCUAAAGUGUUAUCUUUGAAUAAAUAUGGAAGGUAGAAGCAAACGUAUACCCCUCUAAAAUCCGAAUUUUUUAUAUAUUCCCUUCAAAAACUUGAUUUCUACAUCUAUACCCAAAUAUUAUUAAAAAAUUACCUCUUUAAAAAUUGUUUGUUUCCAAUACAAAGUCAACAUAAACCCUGUGAAUUGCAUGAUGCCCCAACUUAGGAUAAGAGUAUUUUCCAACAAAAUGCUCUUUUGAGGGGUUAUACACGAGAAUUCAGAUUUUUACAAGGGAAGAUACAUAAAUAGGUGAUUUUGCAGGAGGCAUAUGAAAAUAGGGUUGUUUAAGCUGCACAUAUUCAAAGGAAAGAGAAGAGUAGAAAAUCGUAUGUCAAUAGCACAGCACGGUAGGCGGAAGUCACAGAACAAAACUCCAUUUAAUCAAGAAAUGAUACCUGAUACAUUCGCAAAGCUGUCUUAUUAUCAGGAUUGGAAAGAGAAGAAUCAGUCUCUGAUUCACCAUUUUCGCCGUUGGCAGCGAAGAUACCACUGCCAGUCAUCUCCCUCAACUUCGAGACAGAGCAAGGUUUCGUGGCACAGCUGAAUUUUAUGGUUGGCAAGAGAAGAUUAAAUGAGACACAUGGUAAUGUUGUAAAUGAUGGGUGGUAGAAAAUCAAAACUAGUUGUUGAAUUAGGUAGAUAUCUUUUAGAGCAUCUGGUAAGUUAAGCGAACCCUGCCUAUACAUCAACAGUACUAGUGAAAGCAAAAGAAUCACUAGUUACCAUAUUAAGAUGCUCCAAUCCAAAUAUUAUAGCAAAAGAACUAUUAUCAAUUUUUUUUCUUUUUUGAGGAUUAAAAAAGAAAGAACAGUAUCUCUGAAGUUUUCAAACUAUAUUCUAUGAAUAAGAGCGAGAAAAUAGAGGUAAAUGCUCAGCCUGAAGAUAUCCACAGCAAAAAUACCACAUGAAGCAGAGAAUCCUAAGUGGAACAGAGGGACCGGAGUAAAGAGAAAAGGAUGAGAAGGAACCUAACUGUAGUUAUUUGUUAAUAACUUGAAAAGAACUCUCGAUGUCACAAAUCACAUCCAAAUCACAAUGUCAUAGAAUGUCAUAUAACAAACAUGAAGUUACAACUAAAAAAAUCCACUGAGAAAGAACAUCUAUUUGUCUCUUCAAAUGGAUCAGUACAUUGAAGUUGUGUUUCAUGAUUCCAUUUGGUCCUGUAUCUUAUUUCUACCGCUAGAGCGAAGACCAAUAAGCUAAAACAUUGUUAUGCUUCACCUUGAUCUUUAGCUUGUUGCAUCCAUACCAUGAGGAUAUUUAUUAGUUUUGUCGCGGAACAUGAACUAGAGCAGAACCAGAUGUAAAUUAAUUAGCAGAACAAGUGAACCUAGAAGUUUCAAAUAUUUGAAUAAAACUGUUUCAACUUAAUUUUACGGAUAGUUUACAAUCACGCUUGUUAAAUCUAACAAACAACUGAAAAUCGUCUCUAUUAAAUUAUAUUCGAAGGAGAAAAGGAAAAAAAAAAAAAGAAGAAGAGUGUAUCCGGAAUACGAGUAGUCAACUAAUUAUCUAAUUUUCUACAACUUUAAACUCUUCGAAUCCACCGACAACAUCGAAAAGGGAGUAAAAAACUGCGAGAUUUAAGUUCAACGGAUCAGGUAAAACCAGCAGAUCAUUAUAGAUACGAACAUAUCGCAAAAAAAGUGAAUCAAAGUAGAGCACAUUUGUCUUUUAAAGAGUGGUACAGCAUCCAAAUCGCCAUUAUUUCGAUCGGAUCAGAGAACACAGCACUAAGGAGUACAAAGGAGCCCUAGUUCUCCUAAUCCACGCAACGAAAAAACCCUAGCUACGGAUCGAUCUCACCUCUUGCUGACGCUCUCCGCCUCUUCCUCGGUCAUCGGGGCCCCGAACAUCACCGGGCUGAUCCCUCCCAUCCGCUGCGAGAAACGAAUCCCCGAAACCCUAAGCCAUCGCCGGAAGAGGAUGAAGGGGGAGGGAGGGUGGAGGGGUUCAGGGGCUCACCUUGGCUGCGGCGGCGGCGGCGGGGGCGAUCGGCGGCGGAUUCUCCGGCCACGCGAGUAGGUCGGAGGUGGAGGCGUGGGGCCUCCGCACGGGGACGCUCCUCCCCUCCAUUCCCCCCCUCUCCUCUCUCUCUCUCUCUCUCUCUCUCUCUCUCUCAGUAUACGCUAUUAUUGUAGUAUGAAGCGCGGGGGGUGUGGAGGUAUUUAUAGGUGGUCGCGGUGCUGAGCUGGCACCGGCGCUCAUUGGUUCGCGGUUGGUCGUUUCCCUCGCUUCACGCAGAGGAAACUGGACCGGUAAUGCAGUUUCUCCAUGAACCUGGUUCACCACGUCAUCCGUGAACCGCACAAUUUAUGUAUCUUUUACCAAGGACUUACAUGCGAGUUAUAUUAUUUUUAUUCUUAAAUAAUCGCGAUUUAACGAUUCUAAAUCUGUUUUAGAUUUAAGGAUAUGAUUUUUUGAGUUAUGAAUGGGAGGAAAAAGGGGCCGCUUGAGGCUGACGUGGUGGACAGGGUCGAUGGAAUUUUUUACACGGAGGGAUUACUCUUUGGAGAUGACGUGGCAGGGUCUCAUUGGUCGGGUGAGAGUGAGGCCCCCUUUUUACUUGGCUUUCCAAACAAGUUCCUAACGACUCUCACACAUACAUGGUACGGCAUUAAUAUUUGAUUUAAUUAAAAAGUGAAAAAUAUAUAAAUUUAAAUAAGGAAAUUGAUAUUUGUCAAAAAUAAUAUUUUAUUAUUGUCACUGUUACGAUAAACGCACAAACGGAAACAAAAUGACGAACACAAAAAACAAUCAAAUCACAAGCAGAAAAUAAAGAGACACAGAUUUACGUGGAAAAAUCUUUUGCAGGAAAAAAACCACGGGCAAGGGAGGAGAGAGCUUCACUAUGGAACGAAAAGGGAAUACAAUGUUCUUCUGAUUACAACCGACCACGAUCAUACGCCUCUAGGGCAAAAACGAAAAGGAAAACUUAUAACGGGUUUCGGAUCCGAUACCCAUUACAGACAUUCAUUUUUCCUUCAUAAUUUUCUUUUCCAAAUUGGUCGCACCGCGAAGCUGUCGACGAGUCGUAAACCCGAACGUGGAAACGAUAGUAGAUUUCGAGUCACAUCUGGCAGUCACAAUAAAAACUUUUAUUAAAAUAUGUCUAGAUAAAAUAUAUGUACUUUGAUAAUCAUAAAUAUUGCUUAGAUAAUAUCUAUUAUUGCUAGAAUAGAAAUAUUUAAAAUAUUACUAGGUAUAAUGAAUGUGCUCUAUAUAAUUAAAAUAUAUACUGAAACCGGGCCAAGUCAUUUUUCCUUAUAAUUUUUGAGAAUUACAGAUAUUAGAAUCAAUUAAGUAAAAAAUUUUAUUUCAUUCCAUAAUCUAUUAACUAUUAGUUAUUCUAUUAAUUAAAAGUGAUUAAAAUUAUUCAAAUUAUUGAUGAAUUUGAUAAAAAUAUUUAAACUUUUUAAUUAAAUCAUAUUUAUUUAUUAUUUACUAUUUAAAUCAGCUUUUAUUGUUUUUAAAAUGAUUCCCACCCAUCAUGUUAAGCUGGUUUCUUCAUUCUUUAAUAUUUGACUUAAACAGAGUUGCAUUCAAGUUUAUUUAAUUUAAACAAUUUUUUGAGAAAAUAAUAAUUUAUCAAAUAUAGUACUUUAUUGAUAUAUGUAAUAAUAAAUCUUUGUAAAAAAUUAAAAUAGAAAUUAUGAGGCUAUAUUUUGACCUUGGCUUAAUGGAGUCAGCAUCCUACUCUGUGGUGUGAGGCUAUGUUGAGCCGAGUCAUAUUCGAAAUGGCGUGAGGUUGGAUGAGCCGAGUUAUAUUUGAAGUGGCGAGAGGCUGAGUGGGAUGAGUCACAAUCGAGACCCAUGAGCGUUGUAUCUGUACGCUUUAAGUGAAUUAUUUGUGUAUUUCUAACAGCUUGAGCUUUUGGGAUUAAUAGUUAUCGCCGACGAUCGGACAAGUGGUAUUAGAGCUAGAGGUCACAGAUUCGAUUUCCGCAUGCUGCAAAUAUAUCUAGGUGCUGGUGCUGGAGGGGGAAUUGUUAGUUUAAAUGGGUCAGUAUCCCUCCCUGUGGCGGGAGGCCAUGUUAGGCCGAGUAGUUAUGUUCGAAGUGGCAUGAGGCUGAGUGAGCCGGCAUUGCUGGAGGGGGGAUUGUUCGUUUAAAUGGGCCAGCAUCCCUCCCUGUGGCGGGGAGGCCAUGGUGGGCCGAGUAGUCAUGUUCGAAGUGGCAUGUGGUUGAGUGAGUCAGCAUCCCUCCUUAUGGCGGGAGGCCAUGUUUAUGUUGGGCUGAGUAGUCAUGUUCGAAAUGACAUGAGGUUGAGUGAGCCAGCAUCCCUCCUUAUGGCGGGAGGCCAUGCUGGGCAUGCUGGGCCGAGUCAUGUUCGAAGUGGCAUGAGGCUGAGUGGGCCGAGUCGCAAUCGAGACCUGUGGUCACUGUAUCUGUACGCUUUAAGUGAAUUGUUUACGUAUUUCCAACCGCUCGAGCUUUUGGGAUUAAAAAUAACCUACUUUUUCACUUUUUCUCGCCAACUUUCAAAAAUCUAUAUUUUAUCCCCUUAACAUUUCAAUUAUUGCAUUUAGCCCUCUUCCAUCAAGAUUUCAUUAUUAUGCCAUCUAUUUCUUAUAAUUUAUAUCGAAAAUAUCUUUCAAAAUGAUAAAAAUAUAUUAAAAAAUUAUUUUUUCUUAUAGAAGAUGUAAGGGUAAUUUGGUUAUUUUGUGCUCUUUAUUAACGUAGUCCCGUUCUGAAAAUAUUUUUGAAAUUUUAAGAGGACAAAAUAUAAGUUUUGAAAGUUGGAAAGAAAAGGUAAAAAAAAAAGGACAUUUACAGAGAGAAUUUUUAUAAUUUAGAUAAAAAGAAAAACUAAAUUACCACUAUUAUUUAGAAAUCAAUUUUACCACAAAAAUAACAAGCACAUCUUCAAACCAAAAACUCAAACCAAAGACAUUUUAUUUCAUUAACCAAACCAUCAAAGUCCAAAAUCACCCAGAACAAAAAUUUUAUGAGAACAGUCUCAAAUUUCAGAGUUGUACCAAUCUGGCGAGAAGCAGCAGAUAGAAAAGUCUUACAUUGGUGACUGUUCCUAUGAAAUUUUUGUUCUUUCAGAUUACACUGCUAAAUCAGGUGUUGCCGGUUGUUGGGGCACAGGUCACGGACGGCGUAGAGCCGGUACGGCGAGGCAUCGGUGGUGAGCCACUGCUCGACGGUGAACAGUGCCUGCCGUCGGAUGUCAGGUUCAUCCAGCACGGCGGCGACGGCAGACACGGCCAGUACUGCAACUACGUCGAGGCCACGUUGGCGGCGCCGCAGCCAGAUUUGGUGGAGUGGUCUGAAGGGUAGACACUAAAAUUAAAUUUUUUACCUUCAAAUUUUUCAUUAAUUAUAGAAAAAACUUUAAAUACUGCUCAUGUGGUAUCAUAUUUUUUCAUUUUAAUAAUCCAUAGUUUAAAAUGUAUUAUUUUAGUACCUAUAGUUUCGUUCUUCUCUUUUCGCUAUCCCCUUUAAUUUUUUUUCAUUAAAUCAGUGACAAAGUUAAAACCACAGAAUACUGAAGUGAAAAUUCGGUAAAUUACAGAAUAGUAAAGUGAAUAUUCGAUAAACAAUAGGUGGAGUAUCUAAAGUUUUCUAUAUAUGAUUUAACGAAAAAUUAACGUAGGUGUUAACGGAAAGAAAAAAAAAAUGAAACUACAAAGUACCGAAGUGAUAUACUUUAAGGUAUAGGGUACUAAAGUGAAAAAGCAUGAAACCACAAAACUGUUAUUUGAAAUUUAUCUUUAAUUCUAAACCAAAAAUAAUGAAAGGGAGACACUAAGAUUAAAACUUUACCUUCAAAGUUUUCAUUAAUUUUAAAUAUUAAUGAAAAAUUAAUUAAAAUUUUAAUUAAUUUUAAAAUUAGGGAAAAACUUCAAAAACCCUCCUGUGGUUUCGUAGUUUUUCACUUUGCCCCUCUGUGGUUUAAAAUGUAUCAAUUUGCCCCCCUGUGGAUUCUUUUUUUUUUUUCUUAUAGUUUUCAUUAUUUUUUUUUCUUAAAUCAGUGAUAAAGUUAAAAUUAAAGGGUACUAAAGUGAAUAUUUGUUAAAUCUAGAUGGGUAUCUGAAGUUUUUUUUGUAUAUAAUUUAAGAGGAGGGUGUAAUAAAAGAUCUUCAUUGAUUCAGAUGCUGAGAGGAAUAUUUCCGAGGUAGGAGGAAAUUUGAGGUCACGCAGUUAUAAGAUCCAUUUUUAUAAUUUUUCUAUUUUUAUGUAAAUAUAAGAUAAACAUGUAUAUAUAUAUAUAUUUUUAUAUCACCUAACCAUGCUUGAAAAAAAAUAUUCAUUGAGGCUCAAGACCUUAUAUUAUUGUACUAUUAAAUUAAUUAAUUACUCUAAAAAACAAUUUUUUUGUUAAAGAAUUAAAGCUUAUUUUAAAAGAUUAAACUGCUAGAUAACAAAAUCAUUCGCAUUAUAAAUUUAAAAUAUGAAUUCAAAUUCAUAUUUCAAUACAAAACAAAUAUUUAAUUUAUAUAAAUUUAAAUUUUUAUUAAAUAAAUUCAAUCUUAGGUGUUACUUCAAAAAUACCAAACACUCGCUUGGAUUAAAUAAAAACUCUUUCCACAGUUUUCAUUUUUGAUUUAGAACAUUUGAAAAAUAAAAACACUAUGUCUAUAAAAUCUAAAAAAAAUAGAAAAUCUAUUUUUACUAUGAACCAAAUGAAUCGACCAGAAAAUUAUUUUCUGUAAAAUAACCAAACACUCUCUACGAUGGGGGAAAAAAUAUAUAUAUAACUUAUCUGAACUAUGAACUAUUUUGAAUUAAAUAUCUAAUUUCUCAAAAUUUUAAUUUUUACAUCCAACUUUCUAAGCUAAUUAUUUUUUUAAUAAAUUUAUUAUUGCGAGAAUUAUAUAAAAUACACUAAUUAAAUCUGUAUAAAUAAAUAAUGUAAUUCAAAAUUUUGGACCGAUUCAAAUUAAAUAAAUUAAAAAAAUUAGCAAAAUUAAAAUAUUUAAAAAUUAGGAAAGGGCUGCAUGCAACGGCGCCAGCGCAGCAGGCAGGUGCCGCGCCCGGCAGCCACGUAGAGAGAGCGUCCGACGCCACGACGCCCGCCCGCCCACCCAAACCGUUUUAAAACCGCCUCCCUUCCCGCAAACUUAUCCCCUGCACCCGGUGCAAUCCACGAACGUCCGCGCACCAAACACUCAAUCUUACUCGUAUUGGCUUAAAUGGACUGGCAUUCUGUUAUGUGAUGGAAGGGUUUCAAAAUGAAGGAAGAUCGUGUUGAGAUGAGUAGUGGUCGAACUGAUGUUAAGCUGGUUGAACCGAGUAAAUACUAUAUCUGUACGCUUUUAAUAAAUUAAUUGCGUAUUUUUAAUAACCUGAUGGUUCGGACGCCGAAAUAGGAUAAUCUAAUAAUAAUUUAUGUGACAUGAAAAAGCACGACACUGAGCGCGUUAGAGGGGCGGGCGGGCGUGCGGGCCGUGUGGCAGUCCUGCGUUCAAGGAGACAAUCCGAAUGCCGAGCACGCCUCGCUCCCACGCCACGCCACGCCACGCCACGAUUUUCGCACCGACCGUCUCUAUAGUAAGUGACAAAGAGCUUGGUGAUUGAUACUCGAAACUCAAGUUCGAAUCCUAGUUGAUUCACAUUUCCAGCUAAGUUUAUUUUCUAAAUGAAAUAAACGAAACGGAUAGCGUACUAUCUAUCUCUCAAAAAAAAAAAAAAAAUUAAUCGUAUCUUGCGCACUUGGUUAAAAAAAAAGAAGUUAAUAUUUAAAUUUUAAACUUAAAAUUUAAGUACAAAAUGAACUGAACUAUUUUCUAAAUAAUACUAAAAUGUUAUCUAAAUAUUGAUGUUUUGAAAUAGCAUGAAAUCAGAAUCACUCUUUCAACAAAUUGGAUUUUCAGAGUAGUCAGUUUAUGAGUAAUUCUUUGAUAUAUUAUUUUAUAUGUAGAGGUACUAUUUGGUGCUUUUGGUUUUUGGCAUUUAUAUCAAGAAUUGUAGGAUGCCAAUGAUAGUGAUCUUCUUAAGAUUUAAUGAUCUUUUUAUGAAUUAACAUUAAUUUAAGAACCAUAAGUGGUCAAAGAGUUGAUUCAACAAUUAAAAAAAUUAGAAACAUCAAUUUUUUUAUACUUCUGAAAGUACUAUAAUUGAACUUUUACAUGUGCAUAGUAUUUAUAUAUAUAGUUCAUCUAAUAGUUCGUCUAAUAUUACUGAUAGUAUAGUUCAUCUAAUAUAGUAGAAGUUAAUGGUUUGAAAUAGGGUUAAUUUUAUGCAGAUUCAACAAACAUAGUGAAUAACAGAUCUAUUUCUAUAAAAUUCAACUUUUAUAUGUUGUUUCUGUAAAAAUUUUAAUAAUUUCAAAUGUGAAUCCUCUGAUUUAUUACUGUUAAAGAAUCGUUAGAGAACUGUUUAUAUUAUUAAUUUUUUCAUCAUAAAUAUGUUUUUCUAAAAAUCAUAACAGUAUAGUAUAAUAUGAGAGCAGUAAAAAUGUCAAAAACUAACCAUUUUAUGGUUAACUAUUUUUUUCUAACGGAUUCUAACAGUAGAAAUAUAUUUAAAAAUAUCAGGACUUUUAUAGGUAAAAUAUAUGAAAGUUAAAGUUUAUAAAAAUAUAUUUAUUAUUUAUUAUGUUUGUAGAAAUUUGUAUGAAAUUAAUCCUUUUAUUAAUAGUGGGAGUUUCCUAUAAUCCCUCCGUAUAUUUCUCUCUCUCUCUUUCUCUUCCUAUCAGUAGCUUCUAUUUAAGUCCUUCCAACAUCCCCCUCCUCCCUUUGCGUUCUGAAAAAGCCCCUGAUAGUUUCUGGUAAACAGAGAAAAAACUCUCUCUCUCUCUCUCUCUCUCUCUCUCUCUCUCUCUCUCUCUCCAUUGCCAUUGUGUAUUUGAUUAUGUAUGUGCUUACACAAUUACACUUGCAGGUUCAAAAUCCAAAUCAACCAUUCAAACCUACAUACAUACAUACAUGAAAUGGCUUCUCAAGAAGCUGCAGCAGGAACAAGCAAUAAGCUGAAAGUAGGCCGAACAACGGAGUACCGAAUGGGCGCCAACACUGAGCUCCUGAACAUCACCGCCGGCGGCGGCGGCGGCUGCGAUGGCGAGGGCACAAAGCUUUUCCUCUUGUGCGGCGCCGACCGGUUCGAGUCGGUUCGACCCUUCCGGUCCGGUGAAUUCUCGGUCCACAUGGUUCGGGUCAAGGGGAGGCCCAUUUCCCUGGUCACCUGCAUGGUGGAUGAUCACCGGUGGAUGCUCGCGAAGGACGCGAUGGCCGGCCGGGUCGAGGCCCGCAUGUUUGUUUUCGGGCUCCCGGGCUUUUUCUACGGGCUCGAGCUGCCGGGUACGGGUGAUGGAAUUGAGGAGAAGCUAAAAAUGUUGGAGGAGAUUUUUGCAAGUUUCUCUGCUAAUAGAGAUCUCACUGUAGAGGAUGGUAAGCAGCUUUUUUUAAUAUAUUUUUUAAAAUAUUUUAUCAUUCAAAAUAAAUUUAAUGUAAGAUUUUUUUUUAAAAAAAAAUUGUAAAAAUAUUUUGUGGGAUAGUUGGUAAGCGAAACAAAUUAAUUUGUCAAAUUUUUAACUUCUAAAUUUUACGCAAUUAAUUCCGAUAUAUAUUAAUUAAUAUGUUGUAACGGAAUAUUCCAUUUUGGUACCUGCGGGUCCCGGCCCGGGUGGUAACGGUAAAAACGAACUGGACAAUCCGUGGGCCCGGGCCUACACCAAGAUCGCGCCGCCAUCGCGGCGGCGGCGGCGGCAAAAUCGUCGACGGCGGAGCCUGAGCUCGUCCAGCAGGCCGUGCGGAGCUCCGCCGCCGUGAAGAUCCUCGCCCGCUCCCUCCUCGCCGGCGCCCUCAAGCCCGCCAAACACCUCCUCCUCCUCCACGGCGGUGGCCCGGCGGCGGCUCUGCCGACCAUGUCGGCUGUGGCGGCGCUCCUGACUGCCAUCGAGACGGGCCAAAUACCUUCGGCGGCGAUGGCAGCUGUGAGUGGUGCGGAACCCGAUGUGGGCGGCGGCGGCAGCGUGGGGUGGUGGUAUGUGAACGGCGACGGCAUGGCCCUGCUUUUGAGGGUAAUGCGCUUCGCGCGUGCGGAUAGCGCUGUCCCGGCGGUGGCGGUGGCGGUGGCAGCUGCGGAGAGGGAGAGGAAGAGGCCGCGGCAGCAUGAGGAUGAGGGUAAACGCGGGGAUCGAGAAGCGCGGAGCGGGGGGGCCGGCUAGGGCUUUGGGGGCGUGGCUGCGNCGGCGGCGGCGGCGGCGGACGCGAAUUUGAACACGGCAACAUCCUAACUUUGACUUAGGCUUAAUUUGAAAAUGCAAAAAUCAAAACAAAUUUAUUUUCAUGCUUUUAAAAGAUUUUUAAAAAAUUGAAUGUGGUUAAGAGAUAUUUCUUAUUUGUAUUUAUCUUUCGAUGUAGGGAAAUUGAACUCUAGAUAUACUUGGUUAGCGCAUUUUCAAAUUAGGCAUACUCUACAAAUUUGUGCAAUUUUAGAAACGGUUAGGUUGAAUGUAAUUAUUAAUAGGAGAUGUAUAUAUGUAGUUAUAAAUAUAGUAGUUAUUUUGCAUACGUAUUUUACAUAUGUACGUUUAGCGUAUUUUCAAAUUAGGCAUAUUCUCCUACAAGCUUGUGUAAUUUUAGAAGUUAUUUGGUUGAAUAUAAUUAUUAAUACAGUGUAGUUGAAGAUAUAUAUAGUUAUAAAUGUAGUAGUUAUAAUUAUAUAGAUUUUAUUUGGUUCGAUGUAGUAGAAGGUAUAGUAACUAUAAAUAUUUUAUUUGAUUAUUAGCAGUUGACAAGUGCAUUUAUAAAUUUUAUUUUUUUUAUAUAUGAGAUAUGGUGAGAUUAUCUUUUAUAUAGAAAAAAAUUACUUUUUGCUUGAAAAUUAAUAAGGAGGUAAGUUUUUUUUAUUUAAUAUUUUUUUUUUCAAUUAAUGCAGUUGGAACUGUAGUCAAUUUGGCGUAGUUUCAAUUGCUACAUUUGAACAUUCUCAUACAACUUCAAUUUUUGCAAUUGAACUCAAAUUCAUAAAUCAAAGGAAUGAUCUAAAUUUGCAUGUAGUUGUAGCUGUAAUGUAUUUGUAACUAUCUGCAUCUAGACAGUCCUUUAGUGCAUGUAAACUAUUUCUGUUUUAGCAUAAAUAUUUUAGUUAAUUUGUUGAGUUUUUUUUUUUUGCCAAGUUUUAAACAUAAUAGCAAAUUACACAAUUUAUCCAAUUAAAAUUCUCCAUAUCAGUAUGAAUUUGCAAAGGUGAGAAAUAACGUGAUUAAAAUCAAUCUUCAAAUCUCCUAAUUGUGGUGAACUCUUUUUUAGUUUUACUUUUUUAAUUUUAUUUAUUUUAUAUAAUUAUUUUGUUUUUCUAAGUUUUCNUAGUAACUAUAAAUAUUUUAUUUGAUUAUUUGCGGUUGACAAGUGCAUUUAUAAAUUUUAUUUUUUUAUAUAUGAGAUAUGGUAAGAUUAUCUUUUAUAUAGAAAAAGAAUUACUUUUUGCUUGAAAAAUUAAUAAGGAGGUAAGUUUAUUUUUAUUUAAUAUUAUUUUUUUCAAUUGAUGCAGUUGAAACUGUAGCCAAUUAAUUUAGCGUAGUUUCAAUUGCUACAUUUGAACAUCCUCGUACAAUUUCAUUUUUUGCAAUUGAACUCAAAUUCAUAAAUCAAACGAUAGAUCUAAAUUUGCAUGCAAUUGUAGCUGCAAUGCAUUUGUAAUUAUGUGCAUCUAGACAGUCCCUUAGUAUAAACUAUUUCUGUUUUCGGAUAAAUAUUUAGUUAAUUUGUUGAGUUUUUUUUUUUAUCUUUUUUGUUUUAUUUCUUUUUCUUUUUCAGUAGUAUUACUUGCCAAGUUUUAAACAUAAUAGCAAAUUACACAAUUUAUCCAAUUAAAAUUUCCCAUAUCAGUAUGAAUUUGCAAAGAUAAGAAAUAACGUGAUUUUUAAAAAUCAAUCUUCAAAUCCCCUAAUUGUGGUGAACUCUUUUUUAGUUUUACUUUUUUAAUUUUAUUUAUUUUAUUUAAUUAUUUUAUUUUUCUAAGUUUUCUUUAUUAUUAUUAUUAUUAUUAUUAUUAUUAUUAUUAUUNGAUCGAAUUGUCUUAAUUUGUAUGGCUGAAUUUAUUUUCUAUAUAAAUGAUGCACUACCUUUUUCUCUAAAAAAAGGUAUAUAAAAAGUGCAAUAUAUAUGUAUGACUUUUUAUCAAGGAUUUUUUUUUUUUUUGCUUAAUAAUGUGUUAAAUAUCUUGGAAUUGGAGACAUCUCCACCCUUAAUAGUUUUGAUACUUUAAUGAUGAGUUUCUUAGUGGGUUACUUAACUUAAUCUUCGAAGUGAUGAGCAAUUGGAAACUAGGAUUACGAAGAAUUAAACUAAUUAGCUAGUCACACAUUUGGUCAAUUAGAAAUUAUAUAUAGAGUUGAGUUAGAAUACUCUCAAAAGCACCAGGGGGAUGGUGCUUUUGAGUUUUUAACCAUUGGAUGAAAAAAUGUAGGGUUGAAAUGAUGAUAGUAGGUGGUGGUAGGUGGAAUAGUGUUUGACCCAUGGAGUAUUAGUAAUUAAGAAGUAGAUCCAAGGGCUAGAUUAGAAGCACCAAGGGAUUGGUGCUUCUAAAAGUUUCAAAAGUAUUUAAUUAGCUCAAUUCACUAUAUAUAUAUAUAUAUAUAUAUAUAGAGAGAGAGAGAGAGAGAGAGAGAGAGAGAGAGAGAGAGAGAGAGAGAGUUAGGCUGGUAUACUAACGGUAGCACGGAGGCAUCCGUGCUACCAAGUUGUUUUCAAUGAUGUGGCUUCCAAAUUGACGAUCGGCUUCGUUAGACUUGAUCUACACUAUUGAAAGUAUUUGGAAACUAAAUUUCAUAAUUUUUCGACAUCAUUUGGCUAGUGAUAAAAAGGUCUUAAAAUUAACAAUUUUAGUGGUAGAUUUGAUGCGUUUGUGAAUUUAACGGUGUAAAACAAUUCAAAUUUGAUACAAUUUUUAUAGAAAAUUUUUUUCACUAUUUAGAGUAAGAUCAGUAUUUUUGAUCUUAAAUUCAAGUCUGUUAUGAUAAUUUUUUAUGAAGUUUUUAUUUUCAGCCAUUUAUUUUUAGACUACUCGUUUGAUAGGUAAAUGAUACCGAAAAAUUAUGAAAUUUAGUUUCCAAAUACUUUCAAUAAUGUAGAUCAAAUUUAACGGAGCCAAUCGUCAAUUUGGAGGUCGCAUCAUUGAAAACAACUUGGUAGCACGGAUGUCUCCGUGCUAUCGAUAGUAUACCAACCUAACUCUCUCUCUCUCUCUCUCUCUCUCUCUCUCUCUAUUUAUAUAUAUAUAUAUAUAUAUAAAUAGAGAAGGGCUACUAUACUCUUAUGAGUAUAGAAGCCUUCGUACUCAUAAGUUGUUUUUGAUGUUGGGGCUUCCGAAUCGAUGAUACACACCGUUAAAUAUAAUCUAGAGUAUUUGAAACUUCUAGAAAAUAAAUUUCGUAAUUUUUCGAAAUCAUUAUAAAAUCCAUCAAGUGGAUAUAAAAUGAACAGUCAAAAGCGAACAAUGUCCUAAAAAUGGAUGAGCGGAUCAUUCAAUUUAAGAUCGGAGUUAUUGAUCUUUAUCUAGGUAAUGAAUAGAAUUUUCUAUCAGAAAUUCAGGCUAUUUCAAUUCUUUUAUACCGUUAAACUAAAAAGUAUCACAUACCGACCGUUAAAAAUUGUCAAUUUUGUGAGCAAUUGAUCGUAAGGUAAAUGAUAUCGAAAAAUUAUAAAAUUUGAUUUCUAGAAUUUUAAAUGCGCUAGAUAAUAUUUAACAGUCUGGAUCAUCGAUUUGGAAGCUCUAUCAUCGAAAACAAUUUAUGAGUACGAAUGCGAUCGUACUCAAAAGAGUAUAUAGUAGCCGGACUCUAUAUAAAUAUAUAUAUAUAAUACAUACAAUUGUAAGAGUCUACAAAGAAAGUGGUAACCCAACUUUUAAAAAACAAAAAAAAAAAAAGAAAAAACAAUGGGGACCACUGCUCUUACGUAUAAUUUGAAAAAGUACUAAUAUUUACUAGUAGGUUAAUUAAUACAUUUUGGCAAAUAUUUAACUUUUAAUAAUCUUUUAAUGGUACUAAAUUUCUAACCAAAGCAGAGAUCAAAUAGGAGAUAAUAUUUUUAAAGCUUGUGUACAUUCAAUAUCUAACUCUCUUGUAAUGUAAACUGAUUAGAGAGGCAAAAUAUUUGAGGCAUAUGUAUAUAUUUAACUUAAGGAAACUUAUGAAGUGCCACAGGAACACAAAAUUUAAUACAAAUGAUCCCUUACACUUGCUUUAAACUUGUUGAUAUUUUUUUAAACUAGAAAGAUGUGAAUAAUUACAAGAGAAAAGCCUCAAAUGACCCACCACAUUUUAAUAAAUUUUGUGGAUAUCCAUGGAAAUUCUUAUAUUUCUUAUUAAUUAUCUAUCUUUGUUUUGCCAUGAGUAUCAUGCUUUUAAAUUGAAAAGCACCAGUAAUUAAUGAAGGGAAACAAUAUAUCCAUAAUAAUUAAAUACAUUUGAGAGGCACAUUAAUGCAUAAAAAGUUAAUAAUUGUUAUUAAUUAAUUUCUUUCAUUCUAUUUUCCAUGGAGCUAGUUACAAAACUUGAGCUUCAUGUGUAAAGGGCAAAAAAGCUAACACUGCUUGCUUUUUAGCCCAAGAAAAAGCUUAAAAAUAGAGAGAAAAUUAAACUUAAGUAGCAUUACAAAAGACUCUAUUUAAUUAUUUGGGGUUCCCCCUCAACCCCAAAAAUGGCAAUACAUAACUCCUAAGUCCAUUUAAAGCCACCACAAAAACAUAAAUGAGAGUGAUGGGGACAUGUUAUACAUAUCCUAUUGUAGUUACCCCCUUGAGUGAGCCUUUAACAUUUGUUGCUUCCACUUCACAAGGCUAAGUAACAACUCCAUGACCUAUAGAAACAAUUAAUUAACAAACCAAGUCACCAACUUGAGAAUAUAUAAAUUUGCCACAAAAAUAGAAAAGAAGAGAAACUUGAGAGAGUAAAUAGAGAGAAAAGUAUGUGACAAAUUAGUGAUGAGUUGCAAUCAAAGCGGUCCACAAUAUGAAGGUGUAUCUUAUAUAAUGUCACAAAAGCAUUUGAAUGUAAAUAAAGGGAGAUCAAUGGUGCUGUUGCUGUUACUUGCCUCAGCAGGUUCUUGUAGAGAAUAUGAAGCAUUUGUCUCUUUAGGGGACUUCGAAACAAGAAUGCCAAUGCCUUGUCCUCUUUCGCGUAAUACCUAAUAAUAUAUCGUCGUAAAAAAUGUUAUCAUUGCGCUAAAAUGUUUACGCAUUUUACCAAGCUAGAACUUUAGAACCUCAUUUGAGUAGGUAGAGCUCUCUACAAAAAGCUUAUUUAACUCCAAACGAAGUUUCAGACAUCUCGUUUAUUAAAUGUUUAACUUCUACUUCUCAAGUAUAGAAAAAGUAAUGCAAAUUAGUGAACCAAAGAUGUAUAUAUAUAUACCUUGAAAGCGUCCUCGUCGGUGCGAUCAUCCCCUAUAUAAAUUGGCAAAACGUCGACACUGUCGGCAAAUCCUAAUAAAUAUGAAACAUGAGUUUUAGGAAAGGUGGCUUGAUUUGAGGGCUAAUGACCGACAAAAUUGAUGUUUUUGCUUAUAAUAUGAUCCAUAAACUAAGUGAAAAAGAUGUGUGAUGUAAAGUAGUUGGUUAUGAUCUUACCAAGAGACUCCAAUAGGAACUCCAAGGCCUUCCCCUUGUCCCAUUUAAUAGUGGGACGAAUCUCUAAUACCUAAGGAUCAAGUAGCCAUGAAACCCAUGUCAUAUUUAUGUAUGGUUACAUCCAAAGAACAUAUAUUAUAAAUUUAUAAUUAUGGUACAGUACCUUGAAAACAAGUCAUUAUGAAAUAGGCAAUUUUGUAAAAAAAAUCUGACACUAUAACGACCCAACUCAUUAGUAUAAUAACUUAUUGGGAUCACACUAUCUGCCUAGAAUAUUUAAGUCCAGAUAUUAAAUAAAUUUACUCUUAGUCUCUGCACAUACUUUCAAAAUUUUAAUGCAUUUUUUUUAAAUUUUUUUUUUUUUAUCUUUACAGUUCUAAUUAGUAUAUUUCAUGCAAUUCUUGCAACAAUAAAUUUAUUAAGAAAGAUAAUUAAUCAAUUUAAAUUUCGGAGGUAAAAUUUUAUUGACUGAUUCAAGUCAAACAAACUAAAAGAUAAAAUGGUAAAAUCAAAAAUUUGAAGUUUGUGUGCGUAGCUGAUUCAAAAUAGUUUAUAAUUCAAAUAAGAUUUGCAUAUUUUUACCUAUUAUUUGAUAUUUUUUUCACUGGGGCAAAAUAAAUAUAGUACCUUCCUCCCUUGAGUUGGUGUUAGCUUUGGAUACUCCCUGAGCACAGAGUUCACUUGCUCAGCCAAUAAUUUCCAACUCUGCAAACAGUUGAUUUAGAAAGCAUAGUUUAAAAAGAAAAGAAAAAUAUUUCCAAAAAGUAGAUUUCUUUUUCCCACUAAUGGCUAAAAUUAGAAAGUGGGCACAUGAAUUUAAAAUUGAUUUGGACCUUUUCAUCUACACAUCUGAAGUGGACAGAUACACAGAACUUGUUGUUCUCCACCUUGGCUCCAGGUACUGAUUUGGCCUUUUCCAACAAUGCUUGGUACACCUGACAAAGAUUUUGAUGCAUUAAGAACCCAACUUUAUUACUGGGUCUAUGUGGUUAAUUAUGUUAAUAAUUAUUAAUACAUUGGUAGGCAAUAAAAUAUUCAAAAGGUUGGGUAGUUAAAGAUGCAUGAGGAAGAGUAAAUUAAACAAAUUAAUAAAACAAUAAAGAAUUGAAAAACCAACCUCAUUUAUCAUGGGAAGGAACUCACUAGCUGGUUGAAAGAGAACUCUUUUGCCCUGAAUCACACAAAUAGAAGAGAAAGAUAAAUUGAGACAUUUCUUAGAGCUUAUUUAAUUGUGCUAGCUCAUAGAGUAGUUUCUCUGGCUGAUCUCGAAAUUUUUACUUCAAUAAGGAGUUAUCCAUCACUCGAGCAAUACUUUUGUAGAAACUCUAUACGCGUCUAACUUAUCCUUGAGGCUUAUUUAGUAGUAAUUUUGUUUUUACUUUUAGUAACAAUUGCUUUUACGAAACGUUUGACAAAUAGAAAUGUUUGAACUUUUGAUAAUACAGGAAGCAAAGAGGAGGCUUCAAUUUUAAGCUUUUGGCUCGGUUUGAAGGAAAGAUUGUUUGUAAGAUUAUUAUAUAGUAAUUUUUUUUAGUGCAUAGUCUUAGUUAAAUGGUACUGUAUCGAAUGUACGUUCACGGCCAAACAGGCUCGUAGAAAACAACUUACUUUUUUGGCAUGCUUGGAGGCUUUGGCAGGCCCUUCGAUGUCCAUUCCAUGGCUACCAGCAUAGUAAAGCUCCGCUAACUUCACAAAAUUAAACACCUAAUAUCACACACGAAAGGACUGUUAAAUAAUGUGAAACAAUCGUCUUUUGUACAGCUAAAGCUGUCAGAGAAUUAUUUUUUAAUAUUUAUACUGUCUGAUUGAAUAAAGAAUUGUGUGGAACUGAACUAAAUUGGAGGGAUUAACCGUAGUAAUUAAGGAGUCUAUGGGGACUCAAUUAAUUUAGGAUCUCUUGUUCUAAAAACCAUACUAAAUAAUGUGAACAAUUGUUAUUUUCAAAAGAUUUCAGCUAUAUAUUAUUAGAUAACGAUGUUUUUAAUAUUUGUAUGCAACAUAGACCGAUUAAAGAACAAAACAACAAAAUAUUUAAAAGCCAAAGCACAGUAGAGAUGAUAAUGAGUUUAUGCUAAUUAACAAGAAUUAAUCAAUGCACCUUGUCCCUACACCUCCCACUCACUAUAGCAGUGGGAAAGCACUUGGCCACCUUCUUUACUGCGGCCCUCAUCUGCUCAAUCAUUCACAAAGGAAAGCAACGUAACUAGGAAAGAAAACAAAGAAAAGGAGUACUAAAAUAGUUAUGUAGUUAUAUAUAUAUAUAUAUGCUAGGGCUACUAUAUAUUUAUAAGUACUGAUCUUCCUGUGCUUAUAAAUUUUUGACCGUUGAAUAAAUAGAUUUGUGGUUAGGAUGAAAGUGAUUUCCGGUUAGAAUGAUAGUAAAAUUUUAAGAUUGAGUAGAUGGUUGGUUGAAUAGUAUGAUCUAACGAGUGCAAAUGAUAAAAAAUAUAGAUAUAACGGUCACAAACUUAUAAGUACAAAAAAAAAUUAUAUUUAUAAAAAUAUAGCAGUCGGACUAUAAAUACAUAUACAUGUAUAUAAACUAAAAGAACAGGGUGCUUACUGCAUCUGACAUGAAGGCGGCGUCGGGGUCAUCGACGAUCGGCGACAGCGUGCCGUCGUAGUCCAAGAACAUCACUAUCUGCUUCCCCUGAGAAGCACUUAUGAUCUGCUCAAACUUGUCCAAAGCCGAAGGAUGUUUUACCUGCUCACAGCCACGAAGAAUAACAAGUCCAUAACUCAAUUUACAUAAAUAUUUAAGCCGUUAACCCCCAUUUGGUUGGGGUAUGAGGGGUGGGAUAACCCACUCAAUUUACAUAAAUAUUUAAGCCGUUAACCCCGAUUUGGUUGGGUAUAAGGGAUGGGAUAAACCCUUAUCUCACCCGUUAUACCCACAAAAAAAAAAAAGUGGGAUUCUUAACGGGUUAUCCGUUAAGGGGUGGGGUUAGCAAUCCUGAGCCUCUCCCUUGGAAUAGGUGUGGAAAUAACUAUUUCUACCCCUAUUUAAUUUUUAAAUUUAAAUUUAAAAUUUAAAAUGUAAAUUAUAAAUUUUAAAAAUUUAUAAUUUAUAAUUUUAAAUUCUAAAUUCUAAAUUUUAAAAUUUAAAUUAUAAAUUUUAAAUUGAUAUAUUUAAUUUUUUAAAUUUAAAAUUUAAAAUUUUAUAUUUCUAAAUUUAGAUUUGAUCUUAAAUUUAAAAUUUGAAAUUGAAAAUUUAGAACUUUGAAUUUUCGAAUUUGAGAUUUUUAAAUUCAAAUUUUAAUUUUGUAUUUUUGAAAUUUAAGAGUUAUAUAUUUAAAUUUAAAAUUUUAAAUAUAAAAUUUAAAAAUUUUAAUUCAAAUAUAAUAAAGAGGGUAAUAUCAUUAUUUUCUAUUUAUAACCAUCCACUAUCUUUAUUAUUCCACUUAUUUCAACCAAACACUAUUUUGAUUAUACUUGGACUAAAUCCAAUAGUCAACCAAACACAAAAUUAUUCUAUAUCUACGUUAUAUUUUAUCAUCUUAUAUCUAUCUCUAGAACAACUAAGUUUUACUUAUAUUCGAACCAAACGAAGUCUAAUAGUCUAAUAGAAAAUAGAGAAUGUUAUUUCAAUACAGUUUUUAGUCGCGUUUUUUUUGUUGUUGAAGUAUCGCUCCAGUAGCGGUAACAUGCUAUCUUUUCUCAAAAAAAAAAAAAAAAAAAAAAAAAGUGUCGCCCCAGUACUGUUAUUUGAAUUCAUAAUCCAAAAGUUUAAGCUGGUAGAUAAGUGGAAGUAAAGAUGCCCACCAACCAAGCGGCGUGCUCGCCGUCCGCCGCGGUGGCGGCUGCGACGGCGGCCGCCCUGGCGUGGGUGGGGGAGGAGGCUCUCAUGGAGUCCACCCACGCAUUGGCACGGGCGGCGCCGCCACCGCCGCCGAGCUCCAGCUGCGUCAAGCGGCCCUCUCUCGUCGGUUGGCGCGGCGGCGGGAAGGAGAAGACGCGGGUCGGUUUCGGCAACGGUGUCGCAGCGGCGACCACGGCCCCUAUCGUCUCCGGCACCACGGCGCUCUGCUUCGGCAUCGCGAGGCCGACAAUGGCGACGAGGAGAAGGGGACGAGGAGGAGAGGGGGAUUAGAGUUUAAGCGUUGUUGUUGUUGUUGUUGUUGUUGUUGUUGUUGUUUGGGUUUUUGUUUGUAGAGAACUUAGACGAGAGUGUUGAGAGAAACAGUGGUGAGUUGGGGGAGAAAUGGAGAGGGGAGGGGAGUAUAUUUAUAGCCCUUCGAGGAGAGAGAAUUAGGAUGUCAACGGAUGCGGAUUCUUGAAAUUUAUUCGAAUUCUAAUGAAACGGGUUUAUUCGAUGUUAAAUAGAUAUAAUUAUAAAUAAGAAUAUAAAGAAUAAAAAUUCGAUAGAUUCGAAUUCGAAUACAAAUUUUUAUAUNUAUAUAUAUAUAUAUGUAUAUAAUUAGAUUAGAAUAUUAUUAAUAGUAUUAAAUUAUUGGUGCUAUUAGAUUUUCGGCCUGGGAUGAAGCGAUGUGUGAAAAGGAUAAUAGUGCUCGCGGGUUGAGUGGCUGGUUGGUUGAAUAGUAUGAUCUAAUAGAUCGAAAUAUAGAUCAAACGACAGAAAACUCAAUAGCACCUAAUACUUAGGCUUCGUUUGGGAUUGCGGGAAAAAAAUAUCCUGUUUGUUUCCGUACGUAAUAUUGCUUUCCGCAUAUCGCGAUGAGCCGGUUACGACACAUUUUCUGCGGUUCUACCGGAGAACGCAGAAGCAUAUCCCUUAAUGUUAUCAAAAAAAAUUACAAGUAUAGAGACCUCAAUACCAAACUAAACUUUAAUGUUAUCAAAAACAAUUUACAAGUACAGAGACCUCCGUACUUUCGAAAGCGCAGGAGCCUAACUAUAUAUAUUAUAUUUAAAUUUUUAAUUUAAAAUUAAAUAUUAACUUAAUAAUAUUUUGAAAUAUGAUAAGCAGAAAUGAGUAUUUUAGGUUUGGGAUUUGGAUUUCAAAUUUUAGAUCAGAUUCAAAUUUUGGAUAUAGAUAUUCAACGAGUUUAGAUUUUGAUUUUGAUGGUCAGUCCAAAUUGGAAUUUUUAAAAAUCCGUACAGAAUCUGACUCGGCGUCGACAUUGCGAAGGAGAAUGAAUAAAUAAACAAAAUGAAUUAGUGAGUCAAUAAUGAGGCCACCACAUAGGUCCCCCAAAGGCCCGAAAAUGAGUUUUUUAUUUUUUUUUAUUUUUAUUUAUUUAUUUUUUAACAUCAGAUCAAAAUGGAGUUUAGUAAUUUAAAAACAAAAUUUUUGUUUCAAAUAAAUUAGUUGAGUUAAAUUUUAUUCUAUUUUAUUAUUUUGUAAAGUAUGAGAUUUCAUGUCAACACAUUUUGUAUAGUUUCUUUUCCAACUAUAUCCUUUGCCGUAUAAUAGUAAGAUAAAUUGUAUAAUAUUUUAAAAGAAGUUUUUUAAGUUAUGUAAAAGAUGAGUUUGGCCUCAAAUUUUGAAAAACAUUGGAUGAAAUUUAUUUGUAAAAAGGCAAUCCAACAAAAUCUUUCUGAAUGAAAAAAAAUUUCAUUAUUAACGAAUGAACUCGAACAAUAAAUUUAGAAAAACCAAUAAUACUCUAUUUUAAUUUGUGUAUUAAUUGCUCGUUAAGGUACGGUAUUUUGAGCAUUUGAUAUGUAAAAUUACCAAACACUAUUGUGAUUGAUAAAAUGCUCCUGUAGUUUUAAUUUGUUAGGUCUUGACAAGUUUUUUUUUUUUUAGGAAAAAAGUAGCACGCUAUCCGCUUUAUUUAUUGGAGCGAUGAACUAGGCUACAGGGAUGAGACAUCCGGGGCCUCGAGAGAGCCAAAAAAAAAGAAAAGAAAAAAAAGACAAGACAGAACUCGUGGACGACCAACACUCUCUUCUACUUCGGUUGGCGGAGGUGGUCCCAGAACUUCAGCAUCAACUUAAGCUUGUGGAUGACCAACACUAGAUCAGGGUGGAUCUUUCUAAAAAUAAACUCGUUCCUGACCUUCCAAGUAACCCGCCAACACGAGACUAAUUCAGAUAGACUAUUACUCGUAUGCUGCGGUCUUUUUCUGUCUGUCCAUCUAUCCAAGACAAAGAGUACGUCGCCUCCGAAGUCCCAAGUCUCUGAACCCCCUCCACACCCAUCACAAGGAUAAACUUGAUGAAUACGCACUGUGUGAAUAGGCGGUCCACUAUCUAGUCAUCAGCUCCGCAUAGCACGCAGGACAUGUCUCCAGUCCAUCCUCCCCUCACGAAGUUGUCAGCUGUAGGGGAUCUCUUCUUGAGUACGAGCCUCCAAAGUCUCGAUACGUUAUUUUUGAAUGGUAAUUGAUAUGUUUAAAUAGUACACGUCAUAUUUUCUAGUAUGAACCAAAGUGACAAAUUAAGAAGCACCGACUCCACUCCUUUUCAGUACUACAUUGUCUUUAAGUUCAUAUUGAAGUAGAUCCUCUAAUGAAUCACAAUUCUCACAAAAAUUAGGAUAAAUUUCAAAAAUCACUUCUGUGGUUUCGCAUUUUUUUACUUUAGUAUCUUAUAUUUUAAAGUGUAUCAAGUUAGUGUCAUGUGAUUUUUUUUUUUUAUCUUUUCGUCAGCUUUUUCGUUAAUGUUUUGUUAAAUUAUAUACAAAAAACUUCAGAUACUCCAUCUAGAUUUAUCGAAUAUUCACUUUAGCACCUUUAGUUUUAACUUUGUUAUUAAUUUAACGAAAAAAAUUAGUGGAAUCGAUAAUAAAAAACUAAAAAUGAAUAUACAUGAUACUAAAUUGAUACACUUUAAACUAUAUGGUACUAAAAUAAGAAAGUAUGAAAUCACAGGGGUAGUAUUUGAAGUUUUUUCUAAAAAUUAUUGUUCUUUCAUUAAUUGCUUAUUUAUAUAGCUCAUGUAGAACUGAAAUUUAAUCUUUUAAUUUUGUUGUUUGUUUGAGAGAAAAUAAAUAAUAUAAAAGCACAACAGUUCUUAUAUAUAAAGUAGUACUAUUGUGCUAUUAAAAGCACAACAGUUCUUAUACUCCUAUCUUUUUUUAACCAUCUAUCAAUUUUGAUAGAUGGUUAGUAUGAGACUGAGAAAAAAAAAUUAUGAAGAAAUUUAGUAUCUCAAUGUCCCUCUUUGAAUUUUUUUUUUUUCAAUUUCUCUUCUCUUAUCCUAAUCCUCCAUCAAAAUUGAUGGAUGAUUAGAAGAUUAGGAGUACAAGAACUGAUGUGCUCAUAAUAGCACACUAGCCCUACUAUAUAUGAAAAAUUAUGAAAUUUAUUUUCUAGAAGUUUUAAAUACUCUAGAUCAUUUUAAUAAUGUGGAUCAUCGAUUCGGAAACUUUAUAAUCAAAAAUAAUUUAUGAGUACGAAGAACUCUAUACUCAUAAGAGUAUAGUAGACUUACUCUAUAUAUAUAUAUAUAGAGAGAGAGAGAGAGAGAGAGAGUUGAGCUAGAGUACAUUUGAAAGCUCCAGGGGUUGGUGCUUUUCGGUUCUUAGCCCUUAGAUUCACUCCUGACUAUUAGUAGCUUUUGGAUCAAAUACUAUUCUGCCUACUACCACCUUCCACCGCUCAAUCUAAGUCGGCUACUAUCAUCUUAGCCUUACAAUAUCCCCAUCCAAGAGCUAUAAAUCUAAAAGCAUCAACCCCUUUCUGCUUUUAGAUAUAUUCUAACUCAACUCUCUCUCUAUAUAUAGUUUAUAUUACAAUAUUAAAUUUUUUCAUCAUUUUUUUUCUCUUCUCUUUGUCUGUGGAGCGAGGCCUACGACGUCCAAGGCGAGGCCCUUCGCCGCGGGAAAAUGAGGUAUGCCGCACGUUCAGCGGCGAAGACCAGGCCGGGAGAGAGAGGAGAGAGAAAGAUAAUUUAUUAUAAAAAUAAAUUUAUAAAAAUAAAAUGAUGACUUUACAUAUCCAUCGUUAAAAAAUAAACAGUAUGUCAACACCAUGAUAAAUAACAAUUAUAGAAUUUUUAGCUGUAUAUAUUUGUUACUCGAUAUAUUUACAGAGAAUGUUAUAAAAUAAGUCCUUAUUUAUUAGAUCUAGCUAGCUAAUAUAAACGUGAAUGGAAAGAUCUUAAUCUGUGGAUGCUGCGUCAAAGUCUAGUCGAUAAAAACAAAAGAGACAGCGAGGUACGAAAUUAAAGUAUUGGCAUGGAAAACCCAAAAAUGACAUUCUAUUCGCAACAUGCAUGCGAUUCUAAAAAAAGUACAAGAAAAAUAUCUUUUCACGGGAAGGAAAAGUGGACGCUCGUUAUUUUGACUUGUGAGUAAUUUGGUCGGUGUCACACCAUUACGUACCAUAUAUACCAAAGUUAAUUAAAGAGAAAAUUUCAAAUAUAUUCUUUGGUUUCAUACUUUUUUAUUUUAAUAUUCUAUAAUUUAAAAUAUAUUAUUUUUAUAUUUUAUAAUUUUAUAUUUUUUUAUUAUUUAUUUUAUUAAUUUUUUUUUAUUAAAUCAGUGAUAAAGUUAAAAUUAAAUGGUACUAAAAUGAAUAUUCGAUAAAUCUAGAUGAGAUAUCUGAAAUUUUUUGUAUAUAAUUUAACAAAAUAUUGACGAAGAAGCUGACGAAAAGAAAAAAAUAAAAUCAUAUGGUACUAACUUGAUACACUUUAUACUACAGGAUACUAAAUUGAGAAAGUACGAAACUAAGUUUACCCUUAAUUAAGCUUCAAUUAUUCGCCCUAAAUUUAAAUUAGGUACUUAGAUAUAUAUAUAUGUUAGCAAUAUGUAUGGAGGCCCGCCAAACUAAACGCGGUUUUAAAACAGGCCCCUCAAACUUUUCUUUCUUAAUUUAUUGGAAUUGAAAUAUUUUAGCUGGUUAAGUAUAAUUUUUUAUUAAUUUAGUAAUUUCAUUAGCUGUUUGAUACCAGUUAUUUUAGUUUUAUUUGCUAAAAAGUAAUCAAAAGUGAAUUUUUGCUAAUUUCAUGAACUAAAUUCUCUCUCUCUCUCUCUCUCUCUCUCUCUAUAUAUAUAUAUAUAUAAAUUGUUAUCGAGCCGAAUACGAGUCAAUUCAUAUUCGGCUCGUUUAUUAAAAAAACUGAAAAAAUCAGCUUGUGGUCGACUCGUUUACUAAACGAGCGACUUGAUCUCAAUCUCAUUUUGAGUCGAACACGAGCUAGAUUGCUACCCCUACACAGCGAUGACAAUAAAAUUAAAGUUGAGGAGCCAAUUCCAAAAUGACCUAUAGUUGAGGGUGUUUCAUACACUUUUUACCAAAAAGAAAGUAAAAAAAAAAAUUACAAGCGAAGAGAUUUGCUCAAUUAUUUGAUUCUAACUUGGGGAAGAAGCAAAACCAUGCAUGGAAUGGAAUUAAAAAGUACGACGCGUGCAUGCAACAACAAAAUCCCAAAUUAAUAAACCAUGCAUGCAUUAAUAUGCGGACUCUUUUGUGAUCUCUAUAUAUGGGGACCAAAUAUGAACUCGUCCCCCACUUUUUAGACUUAAACACGGAUUCUUUCUCACGGAGUAUUAGUUUCGAAUCGUUCGAGAAACAGAACAUGAGAUUCUAAUAAGAAUAUAUAUUUGAAGCCCAUUUUUUAGUCUUAUUCCUGCUAAUAACUCACAUGCUCCAGCAUCAAACGCAAUUUAUUAAUCGCAUCUUUUCACCUAAUCCAUAAAGUUAAUUGCUUGUUAAAAAAUUUGUAACUUGUUCUUUAAAAUGGAGUCAAAACCAAUGGCCGUUAAAGCAGUAUCGAUUCGAAAAAGGCCCGAAAAAACGUGAUCAAGCGUUGAUCACGGAGGGUAUCAGAGCCAAUUAAUACCGAGUUCUUUAGUUUUGUUGCUUCGGAAUCUGCUUUUUAGUGUUUUCUACGAAUGUUCUCGGACGCGUGACCAAAUUGUAGUAGGGUUGAUGGAUUCUGAGGUGCAGGUCUUUGCUGCUUAAACUCGUUUCUUGUGAUCGUGGAAAUAGAAAUUUACCUCGAAAGAAUAAUAAAGAGUUGAUAUAUUACAUUUUCGCUGGCGUAAUGUUAUGUGCGCUUACUUGUUAGAUAUGACCCGAAAUUGAUAAUCGACUCAAGUUCGGGUUUUCGACUCGCCGACAGUUUCGCGAUGCGAUCAAAUUGAAAAAAUUAAAUUGUGAAGGAAAAAUGAAUGUCCGUGGUGGGUAGCGGAGGGCUUGGGCCGACAGGCCGAUCGGAUCCAAAACCCGUUAUGAGUUUUCUCUUCGUUUUUGCCCUAGAGGCGUGAGAUCGUGGUUGGUUGUAAUCAUCUGAACAUUAUAUUCCCUUUUUCGUUCGAUAGUGAAGUUCUCUACUCCUUUGCCCGUGGUUUUUCCCUACAAAGAGUUUUUCAUGUAAAUCUGUGUGUUCUCUUUGUUUUCUGCUUGUGGUUUGAUUGUUUCGUGUUUGUCAUUUUGUUUCCGUUUGUGCGUUUGUCGUAACAUUACUAGUGAGGAUGUUUUUGUGUACCGAAAAAAAGCGAAUACUGAAUCGUACCUACAAAGAGAAAACGAAACAAAAAUUCUUUAUCGAUGUUGGAGAACUGAAUUUUCUGGUAUAGUUACAGUUUUGUCUUUUUUUAAAAAAAACUUGUUAACUGAGCCGAACUGAAUAUAUAUCAGUUAUUAAUUAAUUUUGUUGGCUUAAAUGGGUCAGUAUCUUACUGAGUCACGUUCAAAAUGGCAGAAGGUAGGAUUGGACCGAGUAAUGUUCGAAGUGACGUGAGAUUGAUUAUACCGAAUCACAAUCGAGAUAUAUCGGUACUAUGUCUGUACGUUUUAAGUAUUUAGUAGCGUAUUUUUAAUAGCUUUUCAAGGUAUUAGAGUCAGAGGUCU
rnacentral:lncRNA from 1 species